GCUUCGGCCUUCUCGGGUAAGAGCCUGAGAGCGCUGAAGUCGAACGUGAGCUUGACGUUGGCGUCGCAGAGGCCCCGGCAGUUGCGUGUGGUGGCUGAGGCGCAGAAGGAGACGCUGAGCAAGACCGCGCAGCUUCCCGAGGACGAUGGCACGAGCGACGUGCAGAGGCCGGCGACGAAGGGGUCGGACAGGAAGAUGUCAAUCAAGGAUAUUGACUCGAAGGAGUACAAGGGCAAGACGGUGUUCGUGAGAGCAGAUUUGAACGUGCCGCUGAACGACCAGCUGGAGAUUACGGACGACACGCGUAUCCGCGCGUCCCUGCCGACGAUCCAGUACUUGACGAAGGCCGGCGCGAAGGUGGUGUUGGCGAGCCAUUUGGGGCGGCCGAAGAAGGGACCGGAGGAGAGAUUCAGUCUGAAGCCCGUAGCAGGUGAGUGGCGUGACAGUGCGUUAGUGGGUUCGUGGCGGUGUUUGUGAGAGAGUUACUGACAGAAGAAGAUAGUCAUUGACGAGGAUAUGAUAGGGACGGAAUUGAUGUGCAUGAUCUCUAUGUUUUUCCUACGUGGGGGUGGGGUGGCGGUCGCGGUGUUCAAAUGGUGUGGAAGAGAACGUGAUUGAACAGAGCUCCUGAGGCAGAUCAGAAUGGGUGCAUUGGUGGGUGAUGUUGGGACAUGGGUUAGGAGUCCUGAAUAAGAGCUUGAACCACGGAUUUGGUGGGUGUUCAAUUCUGAUGGGUAGUGGGAUGGUGGGAGUCUGAGGAGAAACGAAGUGCAUAUGAAUUUUGUGUAGUGCUGGCUGUGCAGUCGUAGAUUUACGGUAAUCGAAACAGAGGAUGGCAGUGAAUCGUCGCAGAGCGUCGGAGGUAGAUAGCGAGUCGUGUCGCAGGGGUGCAGCACAGAGGGGUGUGGUGAAGGGGAAUCGGACGCAUGAUUGAUGGGAGGUGUGUGACUGGUUGGUUGUGCAGGGAGGUUGACUGAGCUGCUGGGGCAGACCGUGGAGCUGGCGCCAGACUGCAUCGGCGACGAAGUGAAGUCGAAAAUUGCUGGAUUGAAGGUAAGAGCUUUUGAGUAGGUCAUUGCAGAUUGCACAAUGCGUCGCGAGUGGUUGUUGAUUCUGCAUUUGUGGCCGCAAGUGCAAGCGCAUUGUUUGCUCGUCCGAGGAGGCGAGGGAACAGGCGUUCGGUUGGAAUGGAAGUAGAGUUGACGAGGUUGUCGAUGUGUGUGGGAAAAAUGACAGGAGGGAGACGUGUUGCUGUUGGAGAACGUGCGGUUUUACAAGGAGGAGGAGAAGAAUGACAUCGAGUUUUCGAAGAAAUUGUCAGAGAACAUCGACUUCUUCGUGCUGGAUGCUUUCGGCACUGCCCACAGGGCGCAUGCAUCGACGGCCGGGAUCGCGGACUACGUGACGUCUCGAUUGGCUGGUUUGUUGCUGGAGAAGGAGCUGGAAUACCUGUCGGGCGUGGUGCAGAAGCCAACGAAGCCGUUCGUGGCCAUUGUAAGCGGUGGUUGUGAAGCAGCUGAGGGCAGUUUAGGGUGUAGUGGGGGCAUGGGCGGUGGCGGGGGGAAUGUGGUGCACGUGUGGUGAGAGGUGGGCAGCGAGGGUGAUGAGUGACUCGGGUGGGGUUGAUGGUGCGCAGGUGGGAGGAAGCAAGAUCUCGUCGAAGAUUACGGUGAUCGAGUCGUUGAUGAACGUGUGCGACAAGGUGAUACUGGGAGGAGGCAUGAUCUUCACGUUCUUCAGGGCGGAGGGCAAGAGUGUGGGGUCGUCACUGGUGGAGGAGGACAAGAUCGAGCUGGCGAAGAACUUGGCGGAGUUAGCGAAGAAGAAGGGCGUGGAGCUGAUCCUGCCGGUGGACGUGAUCGCAGCGGACAAGUUCGCUCCGGACGCGAAUGUGCAGACGUGCAGCGCGUCGUCGAUUCCGGAUGGUGAGAGCUGCGGGCGCACAAGUUGGAGUGGUGUUUCGUGGGUUGGGGUGGUCGACAGCAAGUGAAGGGGAGCAGUGUCGUUGUGAGGAGUGGGUGGUGGAAGGUGCAUGGGUGUGUGGACGGGGCGAGGGGCGGCAUGGUAGUUGGUGUGUGAAAGUUGUAGGCAGGGAAUGUGUGGCACAGUUGGACGAGGGGGCGGAGGCGAGGACUGUGGUGGACGUUGGUGUUCUAAGCCGGGAUGGUGGUGUGGUGCAGGGUGGAUGGGACUCGACAUCGGCCCGGAUGCGAUCAAGCAGUUCCAGGAAGCGUUGUCGGAUGCCAAGGUAAGCGUGGCGGGGAGAGUAGGAAUGAGCUGUGGCGUAUGGUAGUGGCAUGAUUGUGCAGCGCGUGGGUGGAACGUGGUAUUUUGUGAUAGAUGGGAGGAUGUGGGGGGAGCGUCAAGGGAAGAUAGAGGAUAGGGUUGUGGAAGUAUGCGUGGAGGUAGAGCAGCGGAGGGUGGGAAUUGGGAGUGGUGCGCAGCAGUAAGUGGUGGGCGUGGGUGUGGUGCAGACGGUGCUAUGGAACGGGCCGAUGGGAGUGUUCGAAUUCGAGCAGUUUGCGAAGGGGACAUUCGCAGUGGCGGAGACGAUGGCGGAGCUGACGUCGAAGGGGGCGAUCACGGUGGUGGGAGGAGGAGACUCCGUGGCGGCGGUGGAGAAGGCAGGAUUGGCAGACAAGAUGAGUCACGUGUCGACGGGAGGAGGAGCGAGUUUGGAGCUGUUGGAAGGCAAGGUGCUGCCGGGAGUGGCAGCGCUGGAUGAUGUGCGCAUCCACGCGUAAAUCUGGCGAGCUGUUGUAGGAGGCAAGGCGGAGGGAGGAGUCGCUAGAGGGCGGGACUGUAUGAAUGGCAGUAGCAAUCCUUGUACACUUUUUGAUCUCUGUACGCACGGUAGUGGGUAGUUGUGGCUUCGUGGGAACAUGGGAUGAUGUUAGGGCGGGAGUCAAAGUGCUCCGUGCGCAUGCAAGCAUCGAAGCCAGCUCUCGUGGAUGGGAGCCUGUGAACAUUUGUCAAUUUUCAUCGUGAAUGGUAGUAGGAAUUUGGUGCGUUUCAAGGACAGUGUCGGUGGUGGUGUCGGUGUUGUGAUUUGCUUGGUGAUGUGACUGUGGGGAGGUAGUUGGUCGAGUAGUUCUGUAUUUGUGAGAGAGGGAGUAGAUUGCUUGCUUGUUGUGGAAAUGAUUUUGCAAGAUUGGUUUAUGCGAUUGAUGGACUGUGCUGUGGUGUUUCUGAAUAUCAAUUGCUUGCUGUACGUCUGGUUUGUAGUGUAUUACAUUUAGUUUGCACAUUGUAUAGUAGGUGUUAAACGGGAGAGCAUCUUGUCUCAGGGAAAUCGCAUCAUUUUGCCCCGUUUCAUUGAUUUUUUGAUGUUGUUAGUUUUUUUUUGUUACUGCUGUAUGUGACUAAUUAAUGUCCUCUAUUUAUGCGGUCCUUCGAUGCAGUGUGUGAGGUGUAUUUCUUGAUGAUGAUGUUUGUUAGCUUUCCAGUCUUCUCUGCACAAGCUGCAAAGUUGCUUCUUUUUAGAAAUUAGAAAUGCAUGGUAUAUGCUGGAAUUUUUGGUUGGAUUGUGAGUUAUUUGUUUAUGAUUUUGCGGAGUAGGAACUGAAAUUUUAUUUUAAUGUUUCAACUGAGUCCUGUUAAAGCUUGUGGUUUUGUUGAGGAUUAUGUUGUCUGAAAUGUAGUUUUUAAUAAGAUCCUGGCAUUCUUGUUUGAGACGAUGUUUGAUGUUAUGAAAGAAUUUUAAGCGGUGUACACAAAGAUACGCCGCAAAAGCUACUGUCAACGUUUAUAGUGCACGUACCAUAUCCGCAUAAUGUUAUCUCUUAAAUUUCAUUUUUGUAGUCUAGGUGGAACGAGUUGGUUUAGGUGUGUUUUAUUGACCUUUGUAUGAGGUGUGUCAAAACUUUGUCCUGUGUUUGGCAAAUGGCAUGAGAAACUUUUUUUGGCUUUAUAAUUCUAGUGUUGACUUAUCUAGUAUUAUCAAACUAUCUAAACAUCUUUUCUUGAUGAAUUCCCUGGUAAACUCUCAUGGUUGUUUGCUUCAACAUUAUUAAUGCCCUCAUGUAUGUCUAAAACAAAAACAUUGCUUUCUAUUUAAGGAUGUAUAUGGCAUACAUCAUUUAUUUGUAUACUUUUGUUGGAAUAGAGACAUCUAAAGUUUAUAUCAGAUCCAACUAAAAAGAGAUGAUCUUCUUCAACAAAGCACCACUCUUUUCUUUUGCUCCAAAUAUCUAUUUUUGUAACAAUGUUCCAUCUCGGUAAGGGCAAAUCUUCCAAGUAAAAUGCUUGUUGGAUGUGAUUAAGAGAAGCAAAAGAUUCUUGUCUAAUAUCAAUCAAUAAAAAAUAAGAAAAAUUUGCAAUUGUAAAUCUGUAGUAGUCUUUUUUAAUUGGUGGAUUUGUUCCUUUGUAUUGGUCUCUAAACCAAUUGUAUAAUAGCAUCAUAGCAGUAUGGUUUCUAUAAUUGAGUUGAAGUAUAUCUUCAAUCUAACCAAUGAAUUUGGUAUAAUAGAAUGGAGGUUUGAUAUCACCACUAGCUACUAUAGAAGUUUGUUUACAAGACACACUAAUAUCAAAAUCAACUAUCUUCUUAUUUGAUUCCAUUGAUUUUUAUUAGAAAUGCAUUUCAUAAGCCUACAUUGAUCUAAAUGAUAAUGCAAUAUCGUCUUGGAAUUUAGACCCUUAUAUUACAUCUGCUCUGAGAGAUGCUCCAAAAUCUACAAGUACAGAGACCUUGUUCUAUAACUAGACCACAAAAAAUGUAAGCUUGUAUAGCUUCAAAAAAAACAAUGUUGCACAUCUAUUUCUUUUUCAAAGAUUUCCACCACAAAAAAAUGAUCUAUGUGCUCAAUGCUCUUCUUUUGCAACAACAUACUAUAUUAUAAAUCCAUAUAAGACAACAUAUGUUUACUUAGUGUCAAUGGUAUUAAUAAGAAUAGUAGUACUUUAUACCUUCAUCUACAAAGUGUACUUAAAUCAUAUUAAAUUAUGGAAAAAGACUCACCAAUGUUAUUUUAUUUUUUAAAAUUACUUUAAAAUUUUCUUAUUUUUAAUAAUAGCUUUAAGAAAAACACUUAUUAAUGUCUUUAUUACAAGAAAAUGCUACUACAAAGACAAGUUAUUCAUCCCUCUUCCUCUUUACAUAACAAUAGUGCCUUGUGUAGCUGUUAAUAUUCUUUGAGUAAGAAACACUUGAAUAUUCUUGGACAUUGCAACAUUUGUUUUGUUACAACCAUUUCUUGUACUACCUAAUAUGUAACAUCAUCAAGACAUGGUUGCUUAAAUUCUUACUAUCUCUAUAGGUGAGAAUGGCAACAUUAUCAACAAAAAAUUUAUAUGCCCAACCUUGAAGAGCAUCCAACAUUCAUUGCUUCACACCAUUUCUUUCUAUGAUUUUAUCAUACAUAGACUAGUAUUCUUCAGGAUCCCAUAUGCAACCUCAUGUUGGUUUAAAGUGUAUCACAUAUUUUAUAUAAAAACCAAGAGUGUCAUCCAUAAAAUAUUAUUUUGCCAUGAUCUACUCUAGUCUUGCUUGCAUCUUCACAUAGUUUUUUAAUGUUUUAAUAUGAUGCUCCAUAGAUCCUUUCGCAAUGCAACAGGCCACAAAUAAAUAAUUCUCUAUCUAAUUGAAUCAUAAGGUGAAUCAUUAUGUCAACAAAUCCUAAUAGAAACACUUUUUCUAACAUGCUCAAGGCAAUUGUGGUAUCUUCCAUCAAUUCCUUCUUUUUAAUCACACAAACUAUCCAUCAAUAAAGCUUAAAAAAGACACAAUAAACAUUCAUAAGAACUUGAUAGGCUUCAUUUUUAAAAACAUGUUGAAUUGCCAAAGGCAAUAUAUGUAUUACAAUAUACAAUAGAUUUGUUGUAAAAUGAUUAAAAUUGGAGAUGCAUAUUCAUCCUUAUACCAUUUUUUUUAAUCUUUAUAUAAUAUACACUGAGAUUUUUAAAUAAAUUAAUAAAUGAUUAUACUUAAUUGAAUUAAAUCUCUUUCAUGAAUCUAGUAUAAUUCUUUUAUAAAUCCAUUGAAGUUUACUUGACAUAUAUAUGUAUAUAUUAGAUAAAAUUUAGUGCAUUUGAAAAUGUAGAAACAAUAUCUAUUGCAUUAAGACAUAGAAGUCAUGUGACUUCAAAUAUCAUAGACUAUCAUUGGAUAUCUAUUUUUGUAUUGCUCUAAUAUAAUCUUUUGGUGUCCAUAAUACACUAAUGAUGGCUAAAAUCUCUUUUUUAUUUUUUGUCUUUAGUAUAUAAGAAAUAUUUGGCAUAUGAAAUUACCCUUGAUGUUGUUCAUAGGAAUGCAAUUAAAGCUUCAAAUAAAUGUCCAUGUCUUGUAUGUCUUGUCUUCUUCUAUGAUAGUCUUUCUUACCAAAUAGAGUUUUUAUUAGGUUCUCACAUAGAUUUUUCUUACAUUGUAUUAUAAUGAAGGUUUUUUAUAUAAAAAAGUCUUAAAAAAUCAUUUUCAUAUUUAAAAAAUAUAUUCUUAAAAAAAAAUAUAUAUAUAUAUAUAUAUAUAUAUAUAUAUAUAUAUUCUAUCAAUCAUAUCUAAGUACAUAAAUGUUUUUGUAAGUUCUACCUAAGACCUUAUAGUCAUCCACCUUCAUGUAUAUAAAGUUCAUAAUUAAAUAUUGUAGAAACAAGAAGUCAAAUUUUUUUUAUUAAAAAAACAAAUAUAAAUUAUUCAAUAGUCUAGUACUCAAUAUAAAAAGAUUAAAUUUUAAACAAAGCUACAUUUGUAACUUCCAAUAUAGUAGUUUAUAUUGUGCAAAUAAAUAUUUUAUUCUAUGGUUCAAUACAAGGUUAUUUAAGCCCUCUUAUACUCCAUCUUCAAUAAGUUAUUGUUUCUUUCCUUUAUCAAAAUAUAAAAUAUCUAAACUAAUAGUUGAUAUAGAGCUUUUCUAUAUUUAUCUUCAGUAUUGAAUCUCAAAUUUCUUUUAUAUAAAUAAUCUAGUGGUACUCUCAUCUAAGAUCUAAUAUGUAUAAGUUUUUAUUUUUAUUUAUUUUUAUUUAUUUUAUUUUAUUUUAUUUAUAAUUUUUUAUCAUUAAAAAAGUCAAAAAUCUAUCAAUGGCCUAUAUACAAGGCAUGCAAGAUAAUCUUUUGUUUUUUUUCCUAAUAUAAUUCCAAUUACAUGAAAGUUACUAAUGGUCCAAAGCAACAUUGUCCAAAGAGUGAACUAUUUUCUUUCAUGAGGAUUAGUAGAUGCAUUGUAUACCCAAAUUCUUGUUAAUAAAGUUUGCAACUCCUCUACUAAAGGUUCAAUAUAAACAUUAAUAUUUUCAAAAUUUGGUGACUUUUUUUUAAAAAAAUCAACAAUGUUAGUAAUACAAAAAAAUAUUUUGAUGAUUAGGUAAGGCGGAAAAUUAUACAUCAAUAGCAAUAUCAACAAAGUAGAGUAAAAAACUACUACAAGGAAUGUGAAUUAAUAUUGGUGUUGUAUAUUGUGAAGUGUGCUUGAGAAUGCACUAGACACUUGGCUUUAGAAGGUAAAAUAGAAUUUUCAACAAGAAAGUCCUAACAACUCUAAUAGAAUCUUAAAAAAAUUCUAAUUAAAUCUUAAUAAUGUUAAUCUAUCUUUAAUCAAAUCCAAAAGAAGUCUAAAAGAAAUUAUACUAGAAACAUAAAAAAAUUAUAAAUUAAUCUUAAAGAAAUAUAUAUAAAAAAAUAUACUAAAAAAAUAUCAAAGAAUUUUUUAAACAAUAUUAAAAAUAAAACCUCAAAUGAAUCUCAAACAAAUUCUAACCAAAUUCUAACAAAAUUCUAAAGAAAUUCUAAUGAAAUCUUAAAUAAAUUCCAAUCAAAUCUUAAUUAAAAUUCUAAAUUUUAAUUAAACUUAAACCAAUCUUAAUCAACUCUUAAACAAAUCUUAAUAAAACCUUAGACCAAUUUUAAUCAAAUCAUAAUAAAAUCUUAAACCAAUUCUAGUCAAAUCCAAAUGAAAUCUUAAACCAAUUCUAACAAAAUUUUAAUAUAAUCUUAAAUCAAACCUAGCUAAAUCCUAAUAAAAUCUUAAAUCAAUCCUAAUCAAAUCCUAAAUCAAUGGAGAUUUUAUUCCUAUGCCUAUGGAAGAAAUCAACAAUGAAGUUCAAAGUUUGUACCAAAAAGUUGUGCAAUUAAGAGAAGCCAGUAGAUCAAGUUUACAACUGAAUUCAAACAAUCUUACUACUAUAAGUACAAGAGAAAUAAGGAUAAGUGUAUUGAAGAAGUUUGAUGGAACAAGGUCAAAGUUUUGAGGGUUUUUACAAAAAGUAAAGCUCUAUCUAAGAUUGCAUCUUUUUCAAUACCCUCAUGGAUUUACUUAAGUUAGAUUAAUAAGAGUACUUUUUUCUAAAAGUAUUCUUCUUUGGUUUGUACUUUUGAUGAAAAAGAUUCAUGACUAUUCUAUGAUUUGAAUUCAUUCUUGGAAGUUUUAUAGCUAUAUUUGAAAAAAAAUAUUAAAAAAUGAUAGCAAAGAGUAAGCAUAUAUUUCUACAAAAAAAAAAAAAAAAAAAAAAAAAAAAAAAAAACACAUGUAGCCACCACAUAUGCUACUAAAUUCCAAUAUCUUACUUGCGACAUGGAUUGGAAUUACAAAGCCUUUAUCAAUCAAUUUUGAUAUGAAAUAAAAGAUAAUAUCAAAGAUUUAUUAUUGAUAAUGCCAAAAGCAGAUUCAUUACAGCAAUUUAUUACUUAAGCCAUUGCUUGCAAUAAACAACUCUUUAAAAGAUGCUAAGAAAAAAUAUUUGAUUGGAGAGAUAUAAAUCAAGGCAUGGUGAUACCUUCUAAGUUUUUGGAAGCUUAUUUUUCUAAGCUAGAGCCUAUACAAAUUGAUAUGAUAUGUUUUAGUUUCUUACUAAAUUUUAAAAAAAAUAAUAAAAAAAUAAAAUGAAAUAAAAUAUCAUUUUUAAGAAAUUUUGAACCUAUAUUAUAGAUAAUCCAAGCACACUAUUCAAAAUUUUCCAAAAAAGUAAUAAAAUCACAAAAUGAUAAGCAUAAUUUUCAAAGAGGAUAAUAUAUUGAAUAUAAGUUUUUUCAGCUAUAAUAAGGAUGGUGCAGUUGGAAUCUCAUAUAACAUCCACUAAAGGUCUGAUUCUUUCUUUAGAUUCCUCAUCUUAUUUUACAAUAGAAGUUUAUUUCUAACCAAAAAAUCAAAACGUCUUAGCUUUGUUAGAUUCAAGAGCCUUAGCUUAUUUUAUAAAUGAAGACUUUGUCAAAAAAUAAAAAAUAUGUUUAAUUAAGAAAAAAAAAGAUAUAUACAUAAAAGUAAUAAUUUUUUUCUUUUCUUUUAAAGAUGUCAUAAGUAUAUAUAUAUAUAUAUAUAUAUAUAUUUUAAAUAUUUCAACUAAUGAUCAUAAUAAUAUAUUUAUAAUUAACAUGAUUUAAUUUCUUUUUAAUCCAAUUAAUUUAGGAUUAUCAUGGCUAAAAAAGUAUGACAUUCAAAUAGACUAGAUUUCUUGUAAUCUUCAAUUUUUCCAUAGUUUAGUCCUAGAUUUUGCUAGGCAAUUAGAAACCCAUAAGACUAAUAUAUCCAAACCUUUAUUAGUAGGUGCAAGCACUUUUAUAUAUGGUGCAAAAAAAAUAUCAACUUUUGCUAUAUAUGCCAUACUUAUUAUUAAUGGAAAAAAAAUUCAAGUGGCAUUUUAAGCCAAUACCAAGAUUAUCAAGACGUUUAUUAAAAAAAUAUAGAUAUUUUUUUAGAGAAUUAUUCUUAUAAUUGUUCCAUUGAUCUUCAAGAAAAAACUUGACCACCAUUUGGUCCAAUCUAUAGCCUAUUACAAAACGAGUUGAUUGCAUUCAAGAAGUACAUUGACAAAAACUUAGCUAAGAACCUCAUAAGCCAUUCGAAAUUUCUAAUCAAGACUCCUAUCUUAUUUAUAAAGAAAAAAGAUAGAUCUUUGCAGAUGUAUGUAUACUAUAAAGAUUCAAAAAAAUCACCAUCAAGAAUAUAUAUCUUCUACCUUUGAUUUUAGGACAUUUUGAUCAAUUGAAUUAAGUAAAAAUCUAUACAAAAAUAGAUCAAUAAAUAGCAUACAAUCUAGUAUGUAUUAAAAAUAUAUAUAUUUUAAACUAAUUAUGGACCUUUUAAAUAUAAUAUCAUGCCUUUUGGAUUCACAAAUAUACCAAUUGCUUUUCAACAUCUAAAAAAUGAUGUUUUUUAUAAGUUUCUUGAUGAUUUUGUCAUUUAUUAUUUAGAUAACAUCUUAAUCUACUUUAAGAGCACAAAAAAUGAUGAAGUUUAUAUUUGUCAUAUAUUAUAAAAACUAAGAGAUGCAAGAUUAUACACCAAGCUAAAAAAUGUUAUAUUUUACAUUACUUAAGUUGAAUUCUUAGAAUACAUUAUUUUGAAUAAUGGUCUUAUGAUAGAUCCUAAGUAGGUUUAGAUUAUCAUAGGUUGGAAGAUCCAAAAAAUAGUAAAAAAUAUACAAUGUUUUUUAGAAUUUAUAAAUUAUUAUUAGAUCUUCAUCAAAAACUUUUUUCGAGUAGCGACUCUUCUUACAUGUUUGAUGUGUAAAGACAAAUUUGAGUAGAAUAAAGAUACUAAAGCAUCUUUUAAAGCCUUAAAGAUAUUAUUUAUUUUUAUACCAAUCUUAUAUUGUAUCACCAUUUUUAGAAUAUUAUUUAUAAAUGCAUCAAAACUUUUUAUGGAUGUCAUUUUGGUACAAAGAAUCAGAUGAUAAACUCCAUCUGAUAGAUUUCUAUUUCAAAAAACUUCUAAAGCCAAGACUAACUAUAAGAUUUACAAAAAAGAACUUAUGUAAUUGUAGAUUUAUUUUUAAAAUGGCUUUAUUAUCAAAAAGGUGCCUCAAGUCCAACCAUCAUAUAUAAUGAUCAUAAGAACCUCAAGUACUUCAUGUUGGUAUAUGUUUUGAAUCAUUGCCAAGUUCGUUGUAGAAUAUCCUUAUAAAGAUUUCAUUUUAAGAUUACUUAUCAACCUAAAAAAUAACAAGGUUUCUUAAAUAUCCGUUUUAGAUAUACUUAUCAUAUACCAAAAGAAAGAAAUAUAGCUUUUGAUCAAUAACAAAUAAUUCUUUUGAAGCUAGAGUACUUUCAUCUUUAAGCAAUGAAAUCAACAUUGACUAUUGAUUCAACAUUUUUCAAGUAAAUUCAAUCAUAUAUGUCUUGUGGUCUUCUUGUUCAUGAUAUUAAGAAUAAUUUUUUUGAGUCCAUGAUUCUUCUAAAUUUUUUUUCAAAAAUAAUCUAUUUUUAUUUUUAAAAAUGAUUAUAUAUUUUAAAAGAUAAAGCUUAAUUAUGUAUUCUUUAAGCUUGUCACAAUUUUCUAACAACUUGACAUUUUAGAUACAAUAAGAAUUUGAAGCUAAUAUUAAAAUAUUUUUGGUAGCUUCAAAUAAGAAAGGUAAUUAAAGACUUUGUACAAUCAUGAGAUAUUUAUUCAAAAUCAAAAACUCCUUAUUAUUAACUUUAUAGACUUUUUCAGCCAUUACCUAUUCCAAAAUAAUUAUAAUCUUUUAUUUCUAUGGAUUUUAUCAUAAAUCUUUCAGCCUCAGGUUUGUAUAAUUUUAUUUUUGUGAUAGUAGAAUAUUUUACCAAGAUGUCAUAUUUUUUACCAUAUACAAAAUCUAUUACAUGUGAAGAAACAACUAAGCUUUUCUUUGUUAAUAUCUAUCUUUAUUAUAGAUUUCUCAAGGAUAUUAUAUUAAAUAGAGGGAUUCAAUUUGUAUCAAGAUUUUAGAAAAUUAUUUUUUAAAUUCUAAAAAUAAAUAUAAAUCUAUCUUUGGCUUUUUAUCCUGAAAUCAAUAGACUAAAAAGAUGGAUAAAUAAAAUUUUGAAGCAAUAUUUAAAGUAUACCAUUAACUACCAAUAAGAUGAUUGACUAAAUCUAUUGCUAUUGGUAGAAUUUAUUUUUAUAAUAAUAUGAUAUAUUCUUCUAUACAAUAAUUAUUUUUUUUUACUAAUUAUGAUUAUCAUCUAUUAUUUGAUGCUUUUGACUUUUCAAAAAUUGAUAAUAUUAUGAUAGAAGAUUUGAUAAGUCAUUUUUUUAAGCUACAUCCAACAAUGAAGAUGUAAUUAAAAGAAACUCAAAAAUAAUAAUAAACUAAUUCAGAUGCCUAUUGCAAAGAGCAACCUCAAUUAUACAUUAGCUAUAAGGUAUGAUUACUUUGUGAAAAUAUCUAGAUUAGUCGCCUUUGUGAAAAGAUAGAUUACUAUAGGCUUAAACCAUUUUGUAUAUAUCAAUAAAUCAAUCUAAUAAUUUAUUGAUUAUAUCUAUUCGGGUCUCUAAAGAUCCAUCUAGUAUUCUAAAUAUUUCUUCUUAAACCAUAUAAGACAAUGAAUAUCUUGGAAAGAAGAUAAAUAUCACCUCUUCAUAUAAAAGUGGAUAAUAAUUAAGAAUUUGAAGUAGAAGAAGUCUUUGAUUUAAGGCAGCGCUGAAAUAUGUUGUAAUAUCUUCUUCAUUGGCAUGGAUAAACACACAUGGGAGCUUGCCAAGAAUCUUGCAAAUGUAGCAAAAGAAGUUGAUGCUUUUCAUUGAUGACAUCAAUCAAAACCAAGGUAAAAAAUAGCAAGAUCUAUGAAAGAUGAUGACUAUUCUUUGUGGAACUCAUCUCUAAAAGGGAGGCAAUGUCAUGAACAUAUAUAUUUAUUUAAAUUAGAAGUAUUAAAUAGAAAGUAAAUGUGGAUAGAUUUGAAAUUAUAUUGUAGCAAAGCUUUUAGAAGCUUUAUAGAUGCAUAUUUGACUUUAUAGAUGUUUGUAGUUCAUUGGUAGAUUAGAAACUUGGCUAACAAACUAGUCAUAUAUUGCACAAGUUGAUAGUUUGUUAUACAAGCUAACAAUGUGGCACAUAUAUAAGAAUCUUGCCUUAUAAGUUAAGACAUAUGUCUUCUAAAAUCAACACAUGUUGGAGGUCCUAUAGAACAUUGUCAUGUAGCUCUUAGUUAGGAUAGUAUAUAUGAAAGCAAAAGUGAAGCCUUCUUCAUUCUUAUCAAUACCUUUCAAGUUCUUAGUCUUAUUUUUAAACUUUCUAAUCUUCUUGUCUUUGGCAAUAGCCAAUCUAAUUUAAUAUUAUACCAUCUUUGAGUGAUUUUUCAGACUUUUUGAAUGACAUAAGAGUGUAUUGAUCUUUUAAUUUUGUGAGAUUCAUGUCCUUGACACUACUUUCUUUCUCUAAUUUGGAUGUUGAUCUUUCAGUAGAAAUUUCUCCUUCUUGAAGUAUUUAAUUGCUUUAAAAAUUAUCUAGUGUUUAGAUUUCUAAAUCCAAAUUACUUUCACCAAUUUUUGCUUCAAUCAAACUUGCAAAAUUUUUAAGAUCAUAAAAAUCCUCAUUAAUUUUAGGUUUUGUGCUUCAUGGAUAUUUUGUUCACCUAUAAUUAAUGGUUUGAUUGGAGCAUUUAUUGAACUCGUUGUUGUUUCUUUAAAACAAUACAAAUCCAUUUAAGCAAAAGUGGAUGAUUUCAUAAUUGAGGCCUAGUUUUUUUUUACCAUAUUAUUAAUUACAUAGUAUGUCUUUGGCAAAACAUUAUCACAUGGAAGAAGUAUAGAGGAAAUAAAAAUUUUAAUCCUCAUGAGUAAAGAUAUUACUAACAGCAUAGGUGGUGGACAUAUUCAAUAUAACAAACACCAUUGAAAUGACACUUACUAAACUUCUUGGCCAAAGCAGCUAAAAAAUCUUAAUGUACACCUCUUCUAAAAUUGUAUUAGAAUGAUCCUCUAGUUUAACUUGUUUAUUUCUACUAUAUUUUUUCAAUGGUGAUGUAGCCAUCACUGUCUUUUGGUAUAAUUCAUCAGAUGUCCACAUUAUGUCCAGAAACAUCUUAUAUACCUUAUGGUAUGUAUCCAUUAUAUUUUUCAGAAUCUCUCCACUUCUAUCUAUAUUGACAUUAUAUUCGUAAAAUUACUUGUCCACAAAGUUUUGAUUUCCUGUAAUUUCUAUUCAAGUUUCCACAAUAGGAUAUUUCUUCAGAGAGUCUAUUCCAACCAUUAAUCUCAUAAGGUAUGAAUUUCUACUCUGUCUCUUUAUAUGGAUCCAAACUGCCUUGAGCUAUAGAUGAGUUCUAUUCUGGCAGUCUCUGCAGGCACAUCAAUACAUUUGCAAACUUUUUUUUCAGCAACCACUUUCAUUUUAACAUCAAGAGUUAGAUCCUCCAUGGUUUUUUUUUUAAUUUUAUGCCCCCCUUUUUUUUGUUUUGAGGUAUGUCCAUAGCAUUCUAAUAGAUUUAUAUUUUAAAAUAUGCACAUGCUCAAUGGUGUUGUUAGUUAUAUGGCUCAGUAUAACUUAAUAGCCAAGCCAAGAAGUGAUGGACAUUGGAUUAUCAUUACAAAAGAUUUACAUACUCUAUCUAUUUCAAUUCCCAAAUCAUCCCUUCAACCCUGUGCUAUGCAGUAGUACUAAUUUUUGCCCUCAAUGCUUGGCAAAUGUACUUAUAACCAAAAGCUGUAGAGUAUGUUGACAAAGUUUCCAUUACAGUAUGUUUGAAGAAAAUGAUGAAAUUAUUUACAUUAUUGUGGGAUGUGUUGUCACUACCUCCAAGGACUUUUGGAACUUUGUAGGUGUAAAAAAUAUAAAAAAUUGUACAUGAAUAAUUAGACAUGUACUUAAAUUCAUACUUUGUAUUGCUUCGUGGAUGGAUAUUUCUCACUUGUUUUAACUAUAAUCAAUUGCUAUUACCAUUGCACAAUUAGAUUGCACUCACUUGUUAGGAACAUUGAUAAAGUUAUUUCAGUAAACAUUGUUUAGCUUAAGUUUCACCUUUUAAAAUAUAUUGUAUAAUUUUUAUUUUUGAGCAUUGUAUCUAACUUAAUUGAGGAUGUUGGAUUUAUCUGAAUUUAUGUUAAGUUAUCUUAAAAUUAAAAUUAUUGCAUGAAUAAUGACAUUUAACUCAAAUGCAUGUGUUGGAUAUUACAUAAAUAUUUUAGAUACUAUUUAUAUUACUAGCAUGUAUAUAUACAUUGUAUAUAAAGUACUGAGCCCAUUACUAUCAAUAUUGAAUUCUCAAUUGGAUGAUAGAAUUAUUAUAAGAUUAGAAAUGUAAAUUACAAGAAAAUUAAAAAUAUUUAUUCUACACACUAUGAAGAUAAUUCAAAAAAAAAUAGACCUACUUUUUAAAUGGAUAAAAAUAAUAAUAAUAAUAAUAAUAAAUGAUAUUUUAUGAUUAUUUUUUCUUUUUUAAUUUAAUUCUGUAAAUAUUAUUCAAUUAAAGAAGUGGUUCUAAUUUUUGGCUAUAAAUGACUUUCGGAAGCACUAAAUUUGAUGUUUGUCACCUCUACAUGACUUCUAUGGCUAAUUUAAUAGAUUCAUUAAUCAAAAGUGUCCAAUAGAAUGAAAUAAGACUUAUAAAAACAAAUAUAUAUUUUUAACACAAUUACGUCUAAAUUUAACAUUGAAAUUAGGACAAUUAAAUAGCAGUCCUUUGCAAAUGAGUUUGCAUUUAAAAAAAACAAACUACCACAAACCUUUGUAAAUUAGAGACAGAUGUUGAUCAAGUUCUGGAAUUCCUCAAAUCCAUACAAGAUCAGAAAUGAAUUAGUAAUUGUCAGUUUUUUGCAUGCAGUACAUUUUUUUUUCCCUCACUUUUUUUUAAAGAUUCCAUGGCCAAGCAGUGAAAGAUAUGUGUUGUCACUUUCAGUUCAUGCAUAAAUUAUUGUUGUAGCAACUGUUUACAUUAUAUUCAUGUUUAGAUGUGUUCUUCCAAAGCACCACUUGGGUUUAGAAAGUAAUCAACCAUGUGAAUGCAUAUGUUUGUCUUUCUUUUUUGGUAAUGCACCACAAGCUUCCAAGAUGACUGUCAGUUUUGUUCCCAGGAACAUGCAGAUCAUGCAUGUUGACAUUUGUUUUUUGCUAUAUAAGGUUUAAUGUUUUUUUAUAGGUUGUGUUAUCUAUGUCUUGCAUAUCUUUGUCAUAUGUGAGACUCAUUUGGUAUUAAGUAGAGAAGAAAUUGAAAUUGGAAAUUGUUAGUGUAGCUUACGUCAUAAGCUUCUACAAAACAAUUUUGUGGUAAAUAUAUGGUAGAAUAUCUUAAGUACUUUAUAUCAAUGUAUAUCUUAGAUUGUCACCAAGCUUGCUAUAGCAUGCUUGUGACACUAUUUGAAUUCAAUAUUAUAUACUAUUGAAUAACAACACUUAUUCAAUUUCUUAUCUAAAUACUUCUACCUUGCACCAAUAGAAAAAAUAUCCUGUCUAAUCUACAAUAAACUAUCAUUUUGAAACCAAAAAGAUUUUUUUUUUGAAUUAUAAAAGUAACAAAUUUAAUUAAUAUUAUAAUUUUGAUGAAAUUUGUUAUAGGAUUUUUUUUUUCAUUAAAUUUAGGUAACAAGCAUUGUUUAUCACAACAUUAUUUCAAACAUAUUUUUUAAGAAAUAAUAAUUUAUUAAAUAUAUUCAAAUGACACUUUAUUUUUGCAGAGCCAAAACAUUGCUAGUAGGUAUUCAUCCUAUAACAUUUGCAACAUUGAGAGCAUCUCCAACGCGGGGCUAUUCCGAGGUCUAUUCUAAAAAGACUCGCCACUGAGUUCCCCAACGCAGUUCUAAAAGCUAUCUAUUCGAUAGACCGUUCUAUUUUUGAAGGAAAUAGACCGCUGGCUAUUCGAAGGUCUACGGAGUUGCGUGAGUGUCGGGGCUGGGGUUCAAUUCUCGUAGAGGUAGAACAGAGUAUUUUUUUUUUUUUUUUUUUUUUUUUUUUUUUGCGAACUGUAGUUUGAUACCUCGAUAUUGCUCUUCUUGUCUGCAUUGCUGCAUCGAUAAACGCCAUGGGAUGCGGGAAGAGCUGGAGCUCCGACGAGGACAUGUUCCUUGCCCGCUCAAUAGUCCAUGUGAGUCAUGAUCCUAUAGUAGGUGCUGACCAGAAGAGUUCCAAAUUCUACUACCGUGUAUUGCAGCAGUUCCAGGUCUUUGUUCCUGAUUCCAAUCGAACCUCUGAUGCACUGUGCAACCGCCAGAAAGAAAUUCAAUCGUCUUGCUCAAAAUUUGCGGGACAUUUUGCCAUGUCACUGGCGGAUCCAAAAUCGGGACAACAUGAAGACUAUUACAUUGAAGAGGCCCUUGAAAUUUAUGUCAAGAUUGAGAAAUCUUCCUUUAAAUUCUGCCAGAUCUGGGAAUACCUCCGAGAGCACGUUCCAAAGUUUGAACAUGGUCUGACUCCCAAGGCUAAUCAUUCCAAACGCAUGGGGCCAGACGAAGAUGUUGUGGAUUUAUCUUCAGAUGAGGGUCAACCUACCCCAUUGAAGCAUCCUAUGGGAACCAAAAAGGCUAAAGAGAUCGUUCAAAAGAACGUGGAUGAAGAUGACGAGUUAGCUGGUAUUCAGCGCUCUUAUAUGGUUGAAGCACGACGUCGAAACGAUUUGAUUGAAGAACAAAAUCGGUUGGCUCUUUUCUCGGUAGAUCUGACAGCAUUAGAUGAUACUGCCCGCCAGUUUCAUGACCUGAAACGAAAAAUUGAGUUGGAAAAAUUAAAACAGCAAGUCCAAGAAAUGGGAAUUUAUCUAAACUAAUAUAUCAACAACGAGAUUUCCUAUUGUUCAUUUCCAGCCCUUUGUCAGAUGUGAGAUAUUAAAUCCGAUUGUUAUUCAUGAUAUACGACAUGAUCACGAAUUGUUUGCAUACGAGCCACCUUGAUGGCAAGAGACUGUGCGGGUAGAUCUUCAAUGGCAGUACGAUAGAUCUCAAUUGGUUGCACUAUCCUUCGAUGGCAACGGCGUCGGCGAUCCGGACGAAUCUCGCCUGUCUCAAACUCCUGGUCCGAGGCGAAAUCCGGAGAGUACCUUUCAUCUUCAACAAUCAUGUUGUGCAAUAUAAUGCAAGCCCUCAUGAUUGAGGAUAGUUUCUCCUGAUACCAACUGCGGGCUGGGUUCCUAACAAUGGCAAAUUGCUUUUGUAAGACACCGAAAGCUCGUUUGACGUCUUUACGGCACGCUUCUUGCACCAUUGCAAAAUAUUUCCUUGCGGCUCCUUGAGGAUUAGGAAUGGAUUUCAUGAAAACCGGCCAGUUUGGAUAGAUUCCAUCAGCUAACUAAUAGGCCAUGGAGUAUGGACUUCCGUUGACCACGUAAUUGACCGAUGGCAUCUUGCCUGUGAUAAUAGAAUGCAGCAAUGGGGACCGCUAAAGAACGUUGAUGUCGUUCAUGCUACCAGGCAUGCCAAAGAAAGCGUACGAAAACCAAAGGUCAUGAGAAAUGGCAGCUACGAGCACAAUCGACGUUCCUUUGAUCCCUCUUUAUGAGCCAUGCCAGGCUUUCGGGCACUUUUCCCAUUUCCAGUUAUAGCAAUCGAUGGAGCUAAUCAUCCUAGGAAAUCCGCGUGCAGUGUUUUUUGUGAGAAUUCGCUUCAAAUCUUCCUCUGUCGGUGAGCGUAAAUACUCUGGUCCGAAGUGUGCUUCAACUGCCGCACAAAAAUGCUGCAGACAAUCGCUUGCUGAAGACUCACUGAUUCGAAUAUACUCGCCAACUAUAUUGUAGCUACAUCCGUAGGUAAGUAAUCGAAUUGCAGCAACCACUUUCUAGAGCGGAUAGAGUCCCUUCUUUCCAAGUGCAUCAGUUUUCUGUUCGAACCAAGGAUCCUGGGCCUUAAUGCCAUUUAUGAUUCUAAGGAAUAGCUCACGGCGCAUACAGAAACAUCGCCUGAACAAUUUUGAAGAGUAAAUUGGAUGAUCACCAAAAUAAUCUUGAAAUAUUCUUCUAUAUCCUUCUUCAAAGUCAUGGUCAGUGUUGGCCGCUCGGCCUAGACGAGAACCUCCGUGAUUAGGCUUGUCAGGUGUCUUCCGUUUGAGACUAAACAGCAUUUUGGACUCCUCCAAGUCAUCGUUAAGCAGAUUUUCACGUCGGGCGCGAUCAAACCAGUCUCGAAUGCUCGGAAUCAUUGCAGUUUAAUUUGUACAAAUGUUUACUUUAAACAUUCCAGUUAAACAAAAAUAAAUUACAUUAUAUGAUGAAAUAAAAUUAUUAAUUUUCUACUAAACUUAGAAUAAAAAAAAUAACAAUAUAAUGACUGUAAAGUUUUAGUAAACAUAGUUUAAAGAAAAAAAUUAAAUAAAGGUAAUAGAUGUUAUGUUAAAAAGUGAUUAUAAAAAAAGAAAAAUAAAAGAACAACAACUAUUAAUGUCCAUCUCCAAACCUUAGGAUUGUUGCCCUUAAAAAUACCACUUAGAACUUGUUUUCAAGUUCUUAAGUUGAACUCCUACCUAUAUAAGUGAAAAAACUUUGGAAGAGUAUCAAAGUAUCCAAAAAUGAUUACCAAAAUAUCUAAGUCCUAAAAUAAAGAUCCAUAAUGAAAUUACAAAAAUGGAUUUUAAUAACUCCAUUUUAUUUCUAAUUUAAAAAAUCAUCUAAAGAACCAUAAAUAAAUAAAUAAAUAAAUAAAUAAAUAGACUUUUAUUCGUAUUAAAAAUCAAAUUACAAUUGCAACAACAAAAUACAUUUGUGAAUUUUGUAUUAAAAUUAAACUUCAAUUAAUUUUUGGCUCGCAACAAUAUUUAAUUGUAGUGAUAAGAUGUUGUAUGGAUUCUAUUUCAUAAAAAUAUUUUUAAAAUAUUUUUGAUAUUUUUCAUGAAUUAUAGUGACUGUUGUCUUGUAGCGAUUGUUUUUCAUCCAUGUUAAAUUACAAUGCCAACUUUGCAUCUUGUAUUGUACCUGUUCUAAUAAAUAGUUUGUAUAAGACAUGCUUAUAUUAUUUUAAUGUCUGUAAUAGUGAUAUAGAUUUCUAUUGUCGUCUCAUUAACACAUUUUUGGCCUCUACAUUGGCAAUGUUAAUGAUUUCAUUAAGCAAAGAUUUGGUAAUAUUUCUGAAACCUAAAAUUUUAAUAUACAAUUCUGUUUUUAUAAUAUAUUAGAUUUAAAUAAAUAUAUAAAGCAAAAAAUUCAAUUUAUGCAGAAAUAAGAUUCAACAAUAAAUAAAAUCUAUUUACAAAAAAUAUAAUAAGAAAAAAAAAACAAUUGUACUAAUCAGAAGAAGAAAUGUUGAUUUAGACAUUCCACACAAUAACAAAGGUUAUAUUUCUGAAGAUAGAAGUAAAAUUUACACUACCCAAGCAAAAGCAAAAAUUCACUCACAAGUUUGACAGCAAAGAUAAAAUACAACCAGCUUAGUGAAAAUAAAUAUUUUAUUACUUUAAUAAGAAUUUGAGUUUUUUGUUUUUGUAAAAACUUUUUAUGAAUAGAUACCAAUUUUUAAAGAAAAUUACCAUAUACAUUUUUUUUAUUAGUUUUUCACAAUUAUAAUAUGUAAAAUUAACAUUCAUGUUGGAAAAUCAAUGUUUAUUUGUCAAUGUGUUAAUCUUUUGGAAGACAUAUAUUAAUUUAUCAUUUUAUAAUAUUUUAAAAUAAUAACUAAAGAAAAUUUUGAGUUGAAAUACAUUACUUGCAAAUGCAAAGUUAAAAGUUUAAUGUAACCAACAUGUCGAGUGAAGGUGUUUUGAUUUCUAAGAACUUGUUAUAAUGCCUAAAAAAAUAGUGAUUACAGUGGUAUAAAGAUUCUAAAGACUAUGAAAUAAAUCACGACUAAUAUUAUUUCUGAAUAAAACAAAUACAAGACAUAACCAAAUUUUACUUUUAAAUAAUUACAAACGUAAAACCAUAUUUAAAAAAUCCUUGUAUUUGACUAAAACCAAAAAAUUUACAACAUAGUUGUCUUUAAAGAUAUUAAUACAAAAUCAACAACUAAAAAAAUAAAAACUUCCAAAGCAACAUAUAAAGAUACAAUAAAAAAUCUUAGCAAUAAGAAUAAGUAGUUCAUUAAUUCAAAAAACAUAAAACUAGUAAUUAUAUAUAUAUAUAUAUAUAUAUAUAUAUAUUAGAUUCACUAAAUUCUUUUAGCAAUAGAAAUAAGAAACAAAGCAUCAAAAAAAAAAAAAAAAAAAAAAAAAAAAGCACUAAAAAUAAUCAGCUUUUGGAUUAUUGUGUAGGCUUAGAUAAGAUUUUUGAGAAAUUUAAUAGAACGAACUACUUGACCAAAACUAGAAUUUGACGACAAUCACAAUAAUAUACAAGAUUUUAAAAAACUUCCAAAAUAUUGGUUUGAUUUUAAAGAUAGAUAUCAAUCAGUAUAACUUAUUUUAGAUUAAAUGUAUUUAUGAAAAUAUAUAUAUAUAUAUAUAUAUAUAUAUAUAUAUUCCAAGUAUUUAUGUGUAUUAAAUUUUGUGAUUAUAUUUGUUUUACUUUUUUUAAUACUUGUGUCUUAACACGAACAUAUCCUCUGAAAAGAGUUGAAUUGUAAGUAUAUGAUGUUAUUUUAUAUUUAUUUUUUGAAUUAUUUUUAAAAAAUCCAAAAUUUGAAUUUUGUAAAACAUCAAAUCAAAUCUUUAUUGUGACCGCGAAAGUAAGUUUUAUUUCUGAUUUAUUUUUAAUAUUUUUAAAAUACCUUGAAUACAAGAAUAAGGCUAUCACAUGAGUGCUGGGAUUUCUAGCAGAAUUAUUAUUAAUGAAAGUUUUUACUAAUACACACGACUCUUGUCUAAAACACGCACAUCAAAAUUAUUUAUGUAUUUUUGAAUAACUCAAUCAAGUUUUUUUUAAAAAAAAAACAAAAACAUAAACAUAAACAUGCACUUUAACAGAUUUGUUUCAGGUUUUUUAAUUAAUCAAAUAAAGUCUUAAUUUUGCAGCAAUUUAUUUUUUUAGAAAAUAGAUCAAGAAUAAGGCCUCGAUAAAUAAUAAAAUUUGCAAACUAAUAAAAAAGAAAAAAUAUUUUUAUUAGGUAUAGUCGUACCUUCUAUUUGAUUUGGGAUGAAGGAAUAGCUUUCUUCAAUACACUUAUUUCACUCUUUGUAGAUUUUGUUUAUAUAAAACCUUUAUAUUAUACAAUUAUCAAUGAGAUAUACAUGCCAAAAAAUUAAUUUAAAAACUCAAAAAUAAAAAAAACACAUUGAUAUUUUUUUAUUAACUGUUUAGAUUAAUUAAUUAACUAAUUUUUGUGGAUCUUAUCUACAAGAUACUUUCUUAUUUAUUUUAUUUUUUUUCAUGGCAAAAACAAUGACAACUUUUUAUUAAAAAAAUCACAAAUUUGCAGUAUGUAAAUGAAAUCCAAUAAUUUGUCAAACAAUGGUCUAAAAUAGUGUAGUAGAAUAACAAAUUGAUUACGUUUAUUUAAAAAUAAUCUUUAAAACAUCUUCAAAAACAAAUGUCAUGUAGCGUCCAAAAGAUGCAAAUUUUAUAGAACAUAUGUUUUAAACCAUUUACAGUCCAAUAUGUUAUGUCCAAAAAUUAUUUGUUUUUAUUACUUUGAUUUCAAUUUGCUAGUUGCGAGUAAAAAUAAAUUAAAAUAUACUGGUAUUUACAAAACGAUUUAGCUAUAAUUAUUUUUGUUAUAUUAUUGUCACUAUAAACUUUGAUUAUAAUAAGAAUAUUAAUGAUGUAAAAAUAUAUCAAGCACCUUUCAUCUUGUUAGCCUUUGAUUACUUGUUAUUGACACAUAUCAUUGAUUAUAUAUCAAUUAUCAUGGUAAUUAUAAUAUUAAUGUUUUUCAAUGUUUUUUCUUUCUGUCAUUCUUAAGGUAAUUAUACUGAAGGAAAAUAUCCCAUUAAUGCUGCUGUUCUAUUGAAGUGACAUUGAUCUACUUGUGUUGUAAAAUGGUGGGGAUGCAUACAUUUUUGUGAUUCAUUUUAUAAAGCUACCAAAUUUAUUUUUUAAAAAAUAAAAAAUAAAAAAAGAAACAAACUCUUUGGUUCUAAGUUUAAUUCGUUUGUAACAACUUCUUUAAUUUUAUUUUCAUGUGAACUCACUUUUAAAUUUUUUUUACAAAUUAUCUUGGAUAAAAUUAUUUUAUUUUUUAUAUUUCAUUUCUUAUCAAAAUUCUACUUAAUAUUGCCAUAACUAUCAAUUCGAUUUUAAUUUUUUGUGUGGUAUCUUUGCAUACAUGUGAAAAAAUUCAAAUGUGGUUUUGUUAGAUACCAAAGGUGAGCAAAAUACCCUUCUAAUUUCAAAACAAGGUCAUGCUAGAAUCUUGUAGACAUGUGCCAUAGAUAUUCAACUGAAUGUAACGUUUUUUGGCACAAGUCUGGAACUUUGAGGCUUCUAGAAUUUGUUUAAUUGAAAAAUGCAUUGAAAUUGUUAAGAUUUGAGGAAAUUAUAUAAUCAAACAAACACACUAUUAGAAUUUAUCACUACAAUAGACACAAUGACAAAUAAAUUAUUUCUUAAUCUUAGAAGUUUAUAUGUAAUCAACACCAAGAUUUUUAGUGUGCUAAAAAAUUAUUUAAAAACUUAUGACUCAAAUUAAAAUCCCAACUACACAAUUGAGAGAUGGAACCCCACAACGGCAACUUAAAGCAAUGAUAUGAAAAAAUACCUCUACUCUGAACUUUCUACUUCCAAUAGAAAAUUUCUACUUAUAUCUUUGGAGCUUUCUAUCAUAAAACUUUUCAUCAAAGUGCAGAUUAAAGACUUGAUGGGAUAAAACUCUCAGAUAUACCAUCAAGAAGAAGGACUAAAUUUAAAUUAAGCAAAAAGGUACAUUUUAUUUUAUUUUCUUUGCUUUUGAGGUUUUUUCAUUCACAUCCUCUUCUUGUAAUGUGAUUAGACCAAUUUUUUAUUUUUUUAUUUCCUUAUUUUCUCAUUAGUGGAUAAUAAAUGGCACAAAUAUUAACACAAAAAAAAUGUAUUAUUCGAAAUGAAUCAGCAUGGUAUGUAGAAGUUUGAAAAUGCACUAUAGAGCGCGUGAUACUUGACUUUUGAUUUUUAGGGCUUCAAAUAGUAUUUGACAAUAUAUUGCCUUGUGUGGACACUUCUCAAAGCUAUUGCGAACUGUCGACUUGUCCAGCUGGAGCCGCAAAAUCGGACGGCUGUGGGCGAUCGUGAUCAGAGCGGCCCGCCAGUUCCACGCAGAUACUUGUUCUGUAAUCUGUGAGGACGCGACUUCCUACUCGACCGUUCUGAGGCGGAAUCGGCGAAUGUGCGGGAGGAGAGCAUGUUUUCUACCUGAACGGUCGUCGUCUCCACUGCGGUAGAGAUUCUCCCUGCCGCUGCGGUGUAAACCUCGCGGAGCACGGCCCCUAUUGUUUCGUUUCCUCGUCUUCUGUGUUGCUCGUGGCUCUCGAUGCGGCGUCCUUGCAUGAGGUUUUCCGUGGCAGAGCUGCUCUAGUUUUUCCAGAUCUGGAGCUUUUUCCAGCAUCCUGAGUAGCUUCUGGCGGAGGAUCCAAAAGAUCUUCCCUGCAGUUCGCGAUUUGGUAGGAUUUUGGUGCAAUUUUCUUCUCCUAGCUCCGAUGUUGUUUCGUUGCGUGGAUAUGUGACUAUUCCUCCCUUCUCUCUUUCUCGUCUAAUUUUUAUCUCAUCCUUGCAUCAUUGUGUUAUUAUUAUUAUUUUUUAUUGGUUACGAGAUGGUUUUUAUUUGGCGCGGGUGUGCGGAGGUUCCCGACAGUAGAAUUACGGUGUAGGGGAAUUUGAGAUGUUGGUCUUCUUCGUUAGGUGAGAGUGCGGUUUCCGAUCCAUGUGUUUGUGUGACGCAUUCGAAAUUGAUGCUCCGUAUUACAGAGGCGGAUCUGGGAUGCCUGUUGUUGUAGUUCGCGAGGGUAAAUUGUUUCUUCUUAUGUUUCUUUGAGCUCUGUUCUCGAGUUUUUUUAAAGCUGGUUGUGUUUCUGUUUGGGAGGGUUUGUAUUUGGUAAAUGUGGCUAUGUCUUGUGCAUUCUAAUUCUGUUUUUACUGAGCUGGCUGAGGGUAUGAAGGGAUUCUCUAUCUCUCUCAGCCUGCUUCUUAUCAUCUCUUUCUUGUUGGCCUGCGAUCAAAGUGCGUUCACUUUCACCUUCCGUCACAUUCAACGGAGACAUCAUAAACCUUUCUAGAAACGUUGUCCAUGCUGGUUUUGGUCUCGAGUCAUCUUACGUACGAUCUAUUUCUGCAGAGGAUCAACGCCAUCUGAAGUGCCACUUUUUAGCAGCAUUUUCUAGCUAUGACGUAACUAUGGCUUAUUCCUAGUUGCAAUCCCACUCUGGAUCUGUUUAAUACUGGCCCAAGGCACUCGUGUGAUGAUCGCAACCAUACAUUGCUGUUACUACGGCGAUUCCAUGAUUUCGAUUUAGGGUUCCAGUGACUCAUCAGCAUUUCCGAUCAUUAGCUUGGUUUUCUUGAGCUCAGUGCUUGUAUGAUGCUCUUGCGUUCAAUCCAUCUCAAUAUGGGUGGGUAGUAUUAUUCCGCACGUCCACAAGCAAUUCAGCAGUGUUCUAAGGUCUCUUUUAUUCGUUUUGGCCGCUCGCAUCCUUUUUAUGACUGAUGUUUACAACAGUUAUUUCCAAGGCUCCUGUGACACUCAUAUAGGUACAUUAUGUUGAUUUCUUCACGUAGCUGGAACUUUCUGCUGCCUUUUUCAGUUAUUCACUCUUUGACACGCAAGUAUCGUGAAAUUUCAGCUUUAUGUAGCAGUAUGUGACGUUUGGCCUCGAUUAAAUUCCCACUUUGCUACUACCAAGUCCUGGGAACUGGUGUGCAUCUUUUCGAGGCAACCUCUACAGUGGUCAACAACCUGAAGAUGGUGUCGACUAUCGAAACGGCCCACGAAGCCAUGAAGGAGCAGGAUGGAGAAUUCAAUGUAAUGACUGCUGGUAUGUAUUUUGGACCGUAUUGGGUGCUUCUGUUUUGUGUUAUGUUUAGUGCUACUUUGGCAACAUUGCAUGUGAAGAAGCUGACCUUGUCUUAAUUAUGCAGGUGCCGACACAGACAAGCAGUCGACGGAUGAUGCGGUUCCCGUCUUUCCCGAGGAUCUGGUUUCUGAAACCAAUGUUAAGAUUGAUGGAGAAGCAGGCAACUCUGCCUCUGCUCCAGAGGCUGACAACGAAGUGCCCGACGUGAAGAAGGCGGAGGCGGUGGGUUCGACGGAUUGGAACAAUGCACCUGUGGCUGGGUGGGCCAGCGCAGAGGUUGACGCUCCUGCUGUGGAGUCUGGUGUUCUGGGUUCUGCUCCCGUGGAGAAUCCACCACUGCAGGUCUACAACUUCUACAUGGUAAGGGUCCCUCGACCCACGGACAAGCAAGGGAAGGUGGAGAUAUCGUCAGCUGAACAGCAGUUACAGGAUAAGACGGAUUUGCGCAACGCCCACAACAACACCGUGCAGGCUGCCAGAGUGAGGCGGAACGAAGCGUUUGAGAAGCUGAAGGCUGCUCGGCAGGUGGAACGGGACUGGCUAACUCAAGUUCGUGCGAAGCAGGAGGAGAUGAAGCCGCUGAGGGACAGCCUUCGUAAAUUGAAGGAGGCCGGGCGGGAGGUGCGAGAGAAGAGUCGAGACAUGCCGACGUCGGAAGAGGAGUUGGACCACCGAAUCGCAUCCCUGGAGUGGAGGAUUCAGCACGAGAGCAUCCCCUUGAAGGAAGAGAAGCAGCUGAUGAGGGAAAUCAAGGCGCUGCAGGCUUCGCGCGAGACAGUUCGUGCGAAUGCACCGCUAUUCGCUCAAGUGCACGAUGCUCUAGGGCAGCGGGACGAGCUGGAGGCUGCUCUGAAGCCCUUGGACGCGGAAUACAAGAAGCUGGACUUGGAGUUGAAUGCAGCUAAGAAGGUGCGGGAGCAGGCGGAAAAGGAGUACGAUCAAAUGAAUAGUGCCCUGAGCGCUGUGCAGGACAAGCUGCAGUCGGCAAAUGACAAGAGGCAGGAAGCUUACGUGCACAAGAAAUCUCUCAAGGAGCAGGAGUACCUGCGGAUGAAGGACUUUUAUGACAACAAGAGGGACAUCCAGGAAGCUAAGAUGCUGGCGAAUAAGCCAAAUAACAGGAAGGAAGUAGAGGAGUACUGCAACGCACAGUUGGAGCGGAUGCUAGAGUUGUGGAACACCGACGAGGAGUGGCGGAAGAACUACGUGAAGGACAACGAGUGGAGCACGGUUCGGCGGUUCGGGACGUUUGAUGGGCGGGGUCUGGCGCCAGACGAAGCGCGUCCGAUUUUGCCUGGGAACGGGUUCGUUCCUUUCGCUGCGGGGCCUGCCUCAUCGCAGCAGAACGGAGGUCGGAGCGUGGGCAACCAGCGAGAGGCAGUGCCGGCGAAAGCGGAAGAGGUGGUAGCAAAAGGUGGCAAGGAGAAGAUUUCUAGUGACCCAACCAUAGCGGUGGAGAAGAGUGUAUCGAAACAAGAUCGGGAGGCGGUGAAGGAGCCAGAGGCCAGUACACCAGUCUUGAUGGAGCCAGUGAAGUCGAAAGAAGAGCUGGAGCGUGAGGCCCUAGAGCUGAAGGAGCAGAGAAGGGCAGUGGAGAUGGCGAAAGCGAAGGAGGCAGAGGAACGGAAGAAACGUCUGGCGGAGAAGGCACAGGCUAAGGCUUUGGCCCGGGCACAGAAGGAGGCAGAGAAGAAGGAAAAAGAGAAGGAGAAGAAAGCGCUUAAGAAGGCUGCAGCAGUGACUCCUCUAGAGUCCGAGAGCGCGGCAGAAAAAGCACCUACCGCCGAGAGCAAUGGCAACGGGAGUUCGGCAGAGGUUGAGGAGCAGGUUGCGAAGGAGGUGAAGGUUAGCUCGAGCCAACGCAAACGCGGGAUGACGAACGCGAGCAAGGCGGCAGCAAAGAUAGCAAGGGCGAAGGCGCCGAUGCCUUCGGUGCGUGCGAAACAACAGAAGGUUUUGGGGAUGCCAGUCCAAUGGGCGGUGGGGGCUGCUGUUGGAGCAGUUUUACUGGCUGUGUUGGUGUAUUUUUUGUUGUCCAGGAGUAGUGCGUCAGGAUCAGGCGGUUUCGAGGAUGGAGCAAGGUCCAACGCGAGGCCAGGGGCGUCGUCUGAGAGCUUUUAGGUCGGUAGGUCUCGGUGAGGACGGAUAGGUACUGGGCGUCCUUGAGGGUGCUUGGUGAUGCAGUCAAGGGUAGGUUUGAAACAGACCUGCUCUGUUUUAUUUUUUUUCUUGCUGCUCACUCCGCGGAGAGUUAUUGUUAAUGUACGUAGUUUGGUUCAGUUAAAUGAAUGGUUAAGUAGACUUGCGAUUUGGAUGUUUUCGCUGCUUGGGUUGUCGAUUUCGAUGGAGGGCUUUGUUUACGUCUGUGAUGCCCGUUUUCAGUUACAGAACAUCCAUUUUGUAUUGCGUGCCGUUUCAAUUGGUUGCAUGAAGUUUGUGAAAGAGAGCCAACACCUUGUUCGAAGUUGACAGUUUUGGUGAAAUGCUUGUUGAAUAGUUGAGCUGUAUUCGAUUGCGUCAGAUUAUUCGUAUGUAAUCCUAGAUGUUCUAUCGCUGAGAUAUUUGGAGGCAUUGCAGUUACUUAUUCUUGCUACUUCUACUUGAUUGGUUUUGAUUCUAUAGCCUUAAAAAAUUGAAACGUGUUUCAUUUUAAAAUGUUAAUAAUAGACUUACAAAACUGGCCAAAGUUCGCAUUUAGUAGAGAAUCCAGAAUCAGAAUAAGGAGUGAAAAUACGGUGAAGAUUUAUACAUGCUAUACUUCGGAAUAAUAUCCAUGUUGAAGGUGAUGAUCUUCCCUCUUGGUGCUAUCUAAUAUAACUCUUAAACUAUGAUCAAAGAAUUUGUCAAAAUACAGGUGGCGUAAGUAUAGCAAGGCACAAUGUCGCGUUCAUUACAUGCGACGAAGAUUUUGUCACAUAUACCUAUACUCAUUCAGAACGUACAGUCCCAUUUCGCGUUUGAAUCACUAAAACGUUGUGGAAGCGAUUAAAAUGUAUCGAAGGAGAUUAAGGUUGCAUGCACUGACCAGCCAUGGAGGGCGAUCAGAACAGUAGCGCCUCUCAGAUUCUUAUCUAGUAAUGCAUCGGCCCUUUUCUCAUCUAACAAACUGGAGGUUCUGGAAAGGGCGUGACGAGAACCCGAGUUGCUGGAUGGUGCGGCGAGCUGUGUGCUUGAGAUUCCCGUUGAAGCUUUGCAGAAUCAGAAUGCGGCAGAUCUGAAUGCCGAGCUGCAGCUUGGCCCUCGCAGCCGGGUCCUCCGUCACGUUCAUCACGAGCUGUUCCACCACGAUCCAGAGCCCACAUCCAUGAAAUAUGUUAAUUGACUGGAUCCCGACUUUGUCGAUGAUCGGUCGAACAACGACAACUAGACGGUGAUUGUUGAGCAAGAGGCGUCGAGAUGUUUCGGAAGAUGAGGCGAGCGAGAGAGAGAGAGAGAGAGAGAGAGAGAGAGACGAUGUCUUACAUUCACAGUUAAAAGUGUGAGCUCGCCGUCGCUGAGGUGAAGCAUCGCUGUGCACAAUGGCACACCAUUGGCCAUGAUGAAUUCCUUCUUGCCUGAUAUCUCCAGCGUCAGGCUGUGCAGUGAUCAACAGCAACAGUUUAUUUAUUUUUUUUUUUCAGUUGUUUGCUAGCUCCACUGUCAAUGGGGAGACCAUAUCCAACUCAAGGACAUGCCGAAGCAUUGCUAAGCUUGUUACCUGAGCAGUGUUACCUGAGCAGUGCUGCUGUACCACAGGCCAUGAUUCUUGCUUCACAGUGGUCCAAGUAGGAGACGAAUACUGCCACUGCUCCAAGUGCAACUGCUUGUUUUCUGCCUUUCUCCUCGAAUCUGUGCCCCCAAUGUUUGUCGCCCCCACUUAUCACCUAAAGCACAGCGCUCGAGAUAGAUGAGACUUCUAAAGUUCGAAGAGAUUUUGCCAAAGUGGUGAUGUCAAGCAUCCCAACUCAGAAAUGGUCUCUCAUACAAACUUAAAUUUCUGGAAUCUUCAUUGAUCUCUUUGAUCCUUCUCUUCGCAGAUUUUUUUAGCACAGGUUUCUAAGAAGCAUUCUAAAGAGUGACCUAUUAGUUCUUUGAACGCCCGCAAUGGAGGUCUGUCCCAAUGGUGAGUAUCAGGGCGAGAGAAGACUUGAAGGGUUUUCUGAAUUUACCCAAUCAUGCAGAUGAAACGACCACAUGAAACCAUCGUGGCUUGGUCUACGGUCUUGGCGAGUUUCAUGACUGUUGGCACUCCUUCCACCUUCAGUAAACGAAAUGCCACGUGACUUCCAAUUUUAAUGGAGAAAAAGAGUUCACUAUCUAACAACAUCAAGAGAUCCUUAAACAAAGCAAGGUUCAGCAAUGUAAAGUGCGUGUCCUUAGGAUUUUCUGAAGUAAUAACAGAAAUACGUGCUUGAAGUAUACCGCCAAAAUCUGAUCAAUGGCCUUCUGACAAUAGUUCAAGCUUCCCAUGCAGCGCGAGCAAAGGUCUAUGGCGUGGCAUACGUUGGCGCUGUUUGUGUCUUUUCCAAUGAAGUCCACUAUAGCUGCCAGACAACCGUCUUCCACAAUCGAAUCCCUAACUAUGACAGCACAAUGGCACCACGAAGUAAUUCAUUACCGUGAGACCUAAGUGUACACGAUUCAACGAACCCUGUGAGAAACUGAAUUAGUACAAAUGGAAACCGAUUAGCCAUAUGCAGUGGAAUCAAAGAGUAACCAGAGCAAUUCAUUGUAAUAUCAAGGAUGUAAUACUCCUAUUUAGUCUGCUUUAGUGCUAGUUCUAUUCCUAAAGAAAUUGAUCGAAUUAGAACUUCCCAGUUUUUUAAAAAUUGAGUGCAAAAGACUCACCUUCACACGAAAGAGCGCAGUAAAGCAAGGCAUUCAGAGCAUUUGACCUCAAUACCACGUCGUCUGUUUGAAUCUGAGGCACAUGCAAAAUCACAGCGCUUCUCAACGCGAACUUGCUUUAGUAGGCAUCAGUCAACAAGCUGCAACCAUCUUUUUCGUGCUUACAUGACAGAGAGUCAGCACACAUCCCUUGCAGUACUUGCACAAAGGUCAACUAUUGCGUAUCCCACGUUGUCAGAAGGGGAGUCAUGGAGAGAGAUUCUUUGUCGAAACGAAGUGAACUAUGUCCAUAAUUCUUACGAGUUUCCUACCAUCUAAUUUUUUUUUUUUUUUUUUUUUUUUUUUUUUUUUAAAGGAAAGCCAUAGAAAUGAGAGGAAAAAAUCGCAUCUUUGAUCGUACUUACCAUCUCUACGAGGCCCUUGAUGCAACCCAACUCCACCAGGUCGGUCCACGUAGUGAUUUGAGCUGUUGACAAAAAGCACCACAUGAGUCAGUUCGCGCUUGCGGACGACCGUUACAAGAAAUCACCGCAUUCUUACUUGUGAACGCUAGUGAUCAAAUAGUUGAAUCAAAGCACGUCUUCUUUCUGCCAAUGGGUUGUAAUCAAUUUCUAUGCUAUGAGCCACUACUGGAGUCUGAAUCGCUUCCAUCGAUGGAUUGACCAAUGCGGCACGGAAGUCAAAUACGGCAAGUUGCAUUACAAGUAUUGAAGAAAUGGCAAGUGCAGACGUGGUUCAGCAGCACGGAUUGAAGCACCUGAAAAAUACUUGAAGCACAGGGCAAGCUGCUGCCGUAUAUACAGGUCUGUUUCCGGGAUCAUUUCAGCAAGAAUAGGAAGAAGGCCUGUACAGGUCGGGUAUUGCCACCACAUAAUGUGCUUAAGAAUCUGCCAGAUGUGAAACGAAAACUGUACCAAAAUACAAGAUGAGCGGAAAGUAGUAUGAUAGAGUAGGCGUCUGACGCUCUGAUAUUGGUUGACAGAGUGCAGGGUGAAUGAUUCAGCAAGAACCACACCCUAGAAGCAACCUGGCCUCGGUACUCUGAUCCUUGGAUCUGUCGUUAACCUAGUUUGCAUUGUAACCUGGGCGAGACUGGCGAAGCAGUCCAUACCAGCUGCUACACAGCGGGCGCGGUUUUCAGGAACCAUCAGCAACUCCACACACCAAGUUACCGAUUUUUGCCUCACAAUCAGCAGUUCGCUUUUCAGUAAGCGAGCCUGUGCUCACAAUCAGCACAGCUAAUGCCAAGGGUCAUUAGAAUGAACUCAUCUAGUGUCGUAAACUUGUACUGCGGUCAACAAUGCCAGACAUACUGCGGCCAGACAGAGGAAUAAACGGUGCCUCUUACCAUCUUUGAAUACAUGAAAUUGAGGUGGCCGGGAGUGACAGUGCUCGGCGAUUGGUGGGUGACGUUGUGUUGAGUCUGAUGCUUCCAAAUAUCGUGGCCAUGGCGCUCACAAUUUAGUAGAGGAUAAGCUCGUUCGUUUUCCGGUCGCGGAUCUGCUACAAUGUCUGUCACACUGAGCCCAAUUUGCUUCAAUAAAUACCUCCAUGCGAUGUAGGGACGCACGUAGCCAUCCUUGUUGCGAUCGUCGUGCAUGUAGUUGGCCAGUUUCGCAUCCUCCACCCGAACAGGCUGUUCGGACCGCACAACGUUGCUGUCAUCAGGCGGUUUCGUUACUACCUUGGCAUUCUUGAGGGCUUUCCUGGCCUCCUCUUCCUUCUUGAUCCGCUUGUCGUUGGCAACAAGGGCAUCUUCAAUUCGCUGAUUGUACUUGUCAAAAUCUUUAACCAUUUUUGUACCUUCAAGGCUCUGACUAAGCGUUUGCGGAUGACAAGAGUUUCCGAUGAUUGGUUGGGUUGCCACUUUUGCUUUCUUCGACACAAAUAAGCGAUUGAACUUCUCAAUUGUAUGGGGACGAAGCGGUUUUAUCUAUGGAAAUCUUAAAAUAUCUUCUCUCUGUCCACCAGCGGCUCCACAAUCCGCAACUAUCCGGCCUCGAUUGCAGCUACGUUCCAAAUUGGAAAUGCCUGUGUCAGCGUAGUUUCCUCAACAACCACUUCUUCGCAGACCACGUCGCAAAUAUUAAAAUGGAAUCAGGGGAAAUGCAUCAACAAAUACCCUCAGGUCCAGUUAUUUCCUUUUGAUCGCGUUGUCAGUUCGAUGACUUCAAACGCUCAGCUCCUAAGAGUGAAAUUGCUCAUCGCUCAAAUUAUUGAAUUGAAUAUCAUUGCCCCUUCAGAUUCCAGCCUUACUUUCUUUGUGAUUGUUGACGUCGAGCGGACACGCAGGAGCUUCGGAAGGGUGCUCGGUGCCUCCACAAAGGACGCCGGCAGUCCUCUUGGCUGGUUCAUUAACGGUAUCUCAACUGUAUUUUGCGAUGGUUGACAAACUACUAUUCGUUUCAAAAUAGGUACUUACUAGUUGUUUUCUUAUCCGAUCAGGAGCACCCUUCGAUUGUUGGGUCCUGUUUUCCGAGGUGGAGGACGGUGAGGCUUGGAUCGAGAACUUAGACAUCCGACCGAUGUUCGGUAACCAGCGAUUCAGCGACAGACAGUUGCAAUCGUCUUCUUCAGGGGAAGGUGCUCUGGCAGCGAAGUAAGGCUGAGGUCUUUCGGUCUCCUCACGGUGCCCGCAUAAUUUCUGGCAGGAUACGCCACUUACACGUAAUCCUUACAUUUGAGCCACUUUUGUACUUAAGCGGUGAAUUAUUUUGCUCAAUCAAUGGAGAAGAGAGCUCAGGCAAAUGCUGUCAUUUGCGGGCUUUUCUGUUGAUGAGAAGAUUGAUAUCUUGAUCAGUUUGGGCAAUGAUAGAGGUUUUCUUUGAGAGUAUUGGUGCAUUUAGGAACGGUUUCACGUUUUUAUAUCAAAAGACUUCACUGUCUUCCUCAGUCCGCAUCGUUUUAUUGUUGUUGUGAGCGGCAGCGUUAAUGAGGCGUUUUAAUUUCAAGUCAACUUUCUCGAUUUUGUGUACGGGUGAAGAAUGGGAUUGGUGAACUAUGAAUCGGGUAUUUGAUGGGUUUUUCCUCCGUUUCCACGUUUAGAGAACAACAGAUAACUUGAAGACUACUACGUGAUGCUUGUGACGUUCCAUUUCAAAUGCAUAGAUUCUACCCAAUACUCAAUCCUACGUGAAGUGUGCUUGCUUCGAUGCUUUGGAGGGUCAGGAUGCUGACCAUAAGCGUGUGCAGUUAAAAAACUUAGGGCACUCCACUUAACCCUGUCUCUAUUUUUUUUUGCUUCAAUAUGCAAUAUUCAAUGUCUAUUGUUUUAAAGCAGGGGAGUCAAGGCAGCUGGUGCCGAAACACUACUUCACAAUCUUUCCACUUCGUCUAGAGCAUUGUACAGCUUGAUUCUGUCAUUUCCUGAGUUUAGGAUUGUGUGUCUUCUGCUUAUUGCAGCAGAUCUCAUCAGCCACUCAGCGCGUAACCGCAUAUAAAUGGCUAGGCGAGAGGAUCUUAGUGGUUUCUAAGCAGAUCGACCCUGUUGGAAAGGUGCGUAAGUAAUCCGGUGCAACAAAUAUGCGGGCGGAAGAGGGUAAAAGUUGCCAAAAGUUGCUAAACUGUAUCGACUCUGUUGUGGGUAAUUGGCCGAUGUUGCCUGAGCGUUAGUACCACGUCAUGCAUUAGAAAUAUGAUUGACGUAAUCAAAGAUCUAAUAAUAUUCAAACAUGUUCUCUGGCGAGCGCAGCUUUGUUACAAAAUUGAAUAAAAUGUAUGCUAAGCUGAUAUUCUAUAUCUCUUACGAACCAAGCUGCCUUCAAGUUCACUUGUAUGAUCUUGUCAAACAAAUUCACUUCGUAUGUGUUUCAUCUGCUAGAGAAUUUGUGAGAAUUCAUGUCAGGAGAAGUUGAGAUUGUCAUGGAAUAUCAGAGGUGGGGGAUGAACUUGGUGGUUUUCUACGACAUUAUGCAUUAAUUCUUAAGAAGUCCACCAUCACACAGAUAUAUAACCUCAUUUUCCUCACAGAUUCUUUCCAAAGAUGAAGGAGCUAAAAGCAGGAGAAUAGUGUGAGUUUCGACAAUUCUCUCAUGGAAAGAUUGUCUGAUUCUGACAGUGGCUACUACCCAGAUUCUCACCCCUUGGAGCUUGAUGAAAACUCGGACGUCUCCAAGGUCAUUUCUCCACUAUUGAGAUGUUCUAAAACCGUGUUUGUGGUCGAAUAAGCUGAAGGAAUUGAAUUUAAAGUACUUGAUAAAAUCGUCGAUAUCCUGGUUUGAGGGCACCGUCAGAAGUUACACCUGGAAACUUAGAAGGAAAAGCCUACACAGGUUCCUAAUGCAAUGUUCACUGCGAAUGGUAACAAUCAACUCACACAUAUGGCACAUGCCAGAUACUAUUUAAUUGUCACCAGGAUAGGUUGACAGAUAGUAGUGCUACAGUAAAUUCUAUAUCAUCAGUGCAUAUAAUAUAUCUCCAAUUUGCAGCCGAAAAACCAUAAGUGAGUUACAUUGUAAAUAAUACGCAGGACACUGAGGAGCGUGGCGUUCAUGAUGUUCAGUCACAAGUUGUGCAAGCUGAGUCCUCUAUCAAGAAAAGUAUUCUCUAUUGCCUAAGCAAUACAAUCACCAGCUUACGCUAUUCUCAUUUACUUCACAUUCCUUUUAACGAUGAUGUAUAAUUGUAGAAGUGUUUCUCUAUUUUUAGAAAUCCAGGAGAUGAAGUGAGAAAUCUGGAGGUUUGAAUCCUCAAAUGUCUGUGUAGGGGACUUGAGAAACCUUCCCUUUGUUUCUGUUCCUGAGACUUCGAAGUGGAAUAUGGAGAGACCACAUCUGACUGGCCGUCGCUUAUGUCAGGUUCAGAGCUUUAUCAUUUCCACAUUUGCAGAAUGUAAUAUAUAUAUGUAUGUUUGGCUAAUAUGCUUACUCCAUUUUACAACAUCGAUCUACUUGUCUGAAUGAAGUCUUCGUAGGUCAUAAAAACUUGAACCAGUCUAAUUGUAUCACGAGCCGAAAUAAGUUGUGGACUGUGGCUGUUUAUGGGUUUGUGCCUGAUGUUCUGUUGGUCCUUACUUCUCAGGAAAAGGAAACAAACAAAGCACCCCAUUCAAAGAAGGAUAUGUCUAUGAGGCGAGUUUCUCUGAUUUCUUCAUGCAAUCACCUCUUCGGGGGGCCUGGGUCGAAUCUGUCUAUUUGAAAGUAUUCUGCCAUGUCCAGCUCUGAGUUGUUCAGAAUGUAUCCUUCCGGAACUGACGACCUAUUCUGACGACCCUCUUUCUAUUUGUUUCAAUUUAAAGCAGAAGGAUGGAGAGAGUCUCUCAUCUCGAUGCGUAUCGUCCAUCUGUCCAGGUACUUGCUAAACGGCUAGUUUUUUUUUUUUUUUUUUUUUUUUUUGGUACUUGCGUCUUUGGAAUUGAUCAGUUCAACUUGUAUAAAACAUGUGGGUGCUAUGAUAAUCUUUUCAGUAGUCGCAGCUCAAACAUGCUCUUAUUUUGAAAGAGUAAAAUCGAUAAUCUUGGGCUUAUGUCUUCGCGGCACUGGUAUUUCUGAGGCCUAUCAAAACGUGUUCUUCCUCCGAAGAUGAGUCCAUGUCGCUGAGCCAAAUUCUACAUGGGCAGGAACUACUCAUUGUAGAGGAGCUAUUGGCUGCCAUGGUGGGGAUUGGUGGCGACUAUAUAUGUGUGCAAAAGAAUCAGGAGCAUUGCUAUUGCUUUGUAUUCCACGUGGACCCUAAAUUAAACCACUCCUUACAUGUAAGCCAACAUUUUCUAUCCGCGUCUUGCUUCGAUUUUCAUUAGGAGGACUUGUGCCCAAUAUUUGUUGAAGUCACAAUCGAUAGCACUUUGAAUUGCUGGAUUGCAGGAGCUUGCUGACCGGAUCCUUCCGAUUUGUGAGAAUUACAUGGUUGUGAGUCAAUUUGCUGAAGAGAGAUCCCACUAUGACCAUGGGUUGACAAACCAUGCGUUCGCUGCAGGUUUGAGGGCAAUUCUUCAAGUGAGUGCCUGCUGAAGACUAUCCUCACUUAGAAAACCUUCCCCGUCAGAUUCACAUGCUACUAUUGUGAUGCUCGUUGAAACUUUAAGUGACUGACAGAUCUUUACAAUUGGUGAAGGGCUGAACCCACCAUGCCAAGAUGAUUGAAUCUACCAAUUGUUUACUUGAAUUUGGGAUCUAGUCGGCAUUUGUCUUGGCCGAAUCUGGUGCAUUUCAUUCAUGGUAGUAGCUAUCGUGCUCGCAGGAUUAUCACGCCAUGGUUGCACAGCUUGAGCAUCAGUUUCGGUUGAGUCGAUUAUCCUUGCCGGGUUUGUGGUUCUUUGUUCAGGUAAAGUCAUGGUAAAAGCUCUAUUGACAAUCGUCGUUUUCGGGAGCAGCUUUCAGUAUCCUAAGUUUCUGCAAUAUAUCAUGCUGGUAACGUAUCCAUCAUGGCUUGUUGAAUACGUUCAGCCGAUGAUGGGAGCGAUGCAAUGUCUUUCCUCCGUAUCGCAAGCAGCAGCAAUGCAGAGCGCACGUGGUGCUGUUUUGUUGAACUUGCUUCACAAUCAGGUAAAAGAUCCACCGCCCUUCAUCAUUUCCGAGGGACGUCAGGUUUGCCGAAGGAUUAACAAUAGAUGGCAUGAAUUCUGCACGUCGAAAACCCUAAAAGGAAUUCUACAACAGUUACUGUCAAAAUGUAUCGACAAUGUCUAAAGAAGAAGCUUCGACAGAGUUUACAAGUGGGAGUAUUAAGAAGAUGUCAGGUUAUAUUAUAUUAUGCAACAUUAAGUUAGUCUAAUGGAAUAUUUCUUUUGCAUUAGGGGAUAGCUCUAGCUGGGGACGUUGCUGUUAGGACAUUACUUCAAAAGCUUACGCAUGCUGCAAGUUUUCCGUACUUCAGAAUCUUAGAACGGUGAGAACUUACUCUUUCUUGGAUCUGCUGAAUCUUGGGUAAUAUUUAGAAUGCUAGCUUGUUACUGGAGUAGAAAGGAACGUGAACAAUUAACGUAGUUAGCUAUGACUUUCGAAAUCUGGAGCCUUCAUGCAGAGCCAUCGUUUAAACAGAUUAUUUCUUAUCAUGCGUUAGUGGUCACACUAUGCCCAGGAAAUUCUCUUGUAUGAGAAGACGAUGAAUCAAAACCUGUUUCUGAGAGUGGAAGAAACUGAGUUUUUUAUGUAGAAUGUUUGUUAAAUUAAUAGAAACAGUUUCACAAGUCCAAAAUUGCGGCACCCUUCUACCCUGUAUCAACACAUCUGUAUUACUAGUUUGAUCUAAAUGAGUUUCUAUAAAUGCUUUGUAACACAAUGUGGGAGGCGUAGGUGGGUGUAUGAAGGAGUUAUCGACGAUCCUUUCGGAGAGUUCCUAAUCGAGGAGAAUAAGUGCUUGGAGAAGGUAUCACACUCACAGUAAUUAAGUCUAAAGAGUGAUCUUUUUUUUCUUUUCUUUUUUUCUCUUUCUGGGGAAUGUUGAAGAAAUUCGAUAACUGAAGAUUAUGUUUGAUCAUUUCUGAUUCACUUUGUAACAUGCACAUGAAACACUAACUGAAGAGUUUUACAACACUAUCUCGCACACCUCCACUAGCAGCUCUAACUUUAUCCGGAUGGUGAAUUACAAGGCAUGACUAUGUGCAAUAUAUUUAAGCCCAUUCACAAGACUCUGCCAACUGUUCCAGGAAAGUUUAAGCCAGGACUACUACGCUACGUUCUGGCUGAAGCGGUACAGUCUGCGAAAGGAUAUACCAGAGUUUUUAAGUUCUCACGCUGAGAUUAUUCUUACCACAGGGAAAUACUUGAAUGCGAUUCGCGAGUGCGGUCAAUGUCUACAGGUUUGUUGUUUGCUAACUUGAAAAGGGUGUAAGCUGACGUUUUAUGUCUAAAACUUUAGGCAGUAUAGUGAAUAUCUUUUCUGUAUACACGCACAAUGAUAUGCUAUCUUCGGCUAAUUGAUGACAAUCUAUGUAUUUGUUCUGUCAUUGUUUGUAACACUCGUACGCACAUUGAGCUUGCGGCCUUAAAAAUUUAUGAAUUUUUUCAGGGUCCAUCACUAGAAGACCUUAGAGUAGCGAAUUUUACCUCGACGAGGCCAUAUUUGGAACGCGUUAAUGUUGCUCACAGAUAUGCCAGUGCGGAGCUUCUUAAUCUCAUCGUCAACAGGGUAAUAUAUUCUGCAUCCAAUUGCAGCUCUUCAACUCGCUAUCUAAUUCUUUAGGGUUAACGGAAUAAUUAAGGUACCGAUGUUUUCAGCAUGUUCUUUGUUCGAAGCUGUGUCAAUCGGAGAUGUUUUUUUGAGCUUGAUUUUGUUUCAUUGCGAAGAAUUGAAUGAAUUCACUAAGAGAUAUAUUGCGCAUGUAUGACUUAAUCUUUUAUGGACUCUGGGUUUGUGUCCACACUUCCCACUGGGACUUUUCAUGACAUGUUCCUUUAAGCUCUAAAAAUAACAGGACAUGUAUGUAUGUUUUUCAACUGUUAAUUCGAAAGAUUAACAGGGGAAUAACUAAUUAAUUCGGAUAUCUCCAUCGGAGUUUGAUAUAGAAUGGAUUACUUGUACACCUAGCUGAUGUAGUUUUCUUCUUAUGCAUGAGGAGGGGCAGUUUGACCUGGCUGGAAGGCUGCGUUCUGUCAAACACUACUUCUUCGUAGACAAGGUGUGUUCCAAGAUUUUUUAACGGCUUCUAACCUCUUGCUCCACAAUGUAGAAUUCCAGUGUAAUUACUUUUAAACUUGCAGAUACUGCCUGACAUGAUUUCUUACUGCACACUUUUCUAGUGUGCAGCCCAUGAUCAAUUGAGGAACGAUACAUUUCUGUGACGCUUAUAAAAACCUGCCUUGAAUAUUACAAGUCGGUUUCACACUAUUGUAAAAUACAGGGAGAUUUCUUGGUCAUCUUCAUGGAUUCAGCUAAGGACGAACUUGCGAAAAGACCCGCAGCCUUGUCAAGGGAGAGACUCCAGGUACGCUGUAAUGGAAGCAAUACACCAAUUUAAGGUAUUGCGUUGGAAGUUGCUGGGAUUUUACCCAAUGUCUGCUUAUUUCUGGUUCGUUUUGUGGAAAGCUCUAUCCUUAUUUUCUUGCAUUUAAUCCAUUUAAUACACUUAGAUACAGAUCUGUCAAUACGCUAUCUGUUAACUGCUUCAGUAGCAAUGAAUCUUCUUAAUUUGUAUGUAACAUCGACUCAUAUUCACACUUUCCGGCAUUUGUGUUUAGUCACUGUUGGAGCUGGCUAUUAAGACAUCGGUUGCGGCAUCGGAUCCUUACCACGACGACCUCACGUGCAUCAUUGUAACUACUACCACAAUGCUAAUGUCGGUCUUCUAAUUUGUAACCACCAUCCGUUACUAACUCCCGUAUCACAAGGAAUAUAGCUCUGAAGUGCUCUUGUCUCAAUCCUGUUCCUCUUAUGCUUGCAGGAAAAUUCAACACUUCUGAUGCAGCUGGAGGAGUUUAUGCACAAUGGUCCAGCCACUCAAAGUGCACAAUCAGAGACCUGCAACACAGGCGGAGUUGCUACAGGGGGCUUAACUGGAAUAGACUUUUUUGUUCUGGAUUACAAGGUAAUCGCUUCUUUCAAUUGGGAUCAAUUUUCAGUCUUUUCUCUAGGAAGUUGGUUGGACCCGAGUUAAAAUCGAUUUGAAUUUGUGAGUGCCUGAAGUGGGCAGGAUGUGUGACACAUUUCAUGAAGGUUAGGUGGCCGACUUCAUUAGUGCUAUCAAGAAGAGCUUUGACAAAGUACCAAUUCAUAUUUCGGCAUCUUUUCCAUUGCAAGCACGUGUGGCGUCAGCUAUGUGCAUCCUGGCAGAUACAUCAGGUUUUCCUGAUAAAUCGCGGAGCCUCUUAAUGAUAUUUUGGGCUAAAGAGACAUCCUGAAAGCCUAUCUUUGGCCCUAGUGUAAACAAUUCCUGCAUGUGUACAAAACAUCGAUGUUUAACUAGCAUUGACCAGCAAUUGUUUGAAUCACAAGCGUGCUUAUUACAUUGCAGAUAGCUACCCGUGCAUACAAUAUCACCGGGACAUCGCUGUGUAGGUCGUACGUCGUGUGCCAACGCAUGCUCCAUUUCAUCCAGAGCUUCGAACAUUACAUGACUUUUGAGGUGAAAUAGUACAAUAUCGUCUCUUGACAAAAAGAAGAAAACUGCCUUCAAUAAUCAGUAUAAUGAUCAUAUCAGCUUAUUCCUGAGUACAAUGACUUAGCAGUUUCUUUUAAAUAUGAAGUGACUGUUGAUCUGCUAAUUGUGCGGUUGAAACUUUCAAACAUGUACAAGAAGAAUUCUGAGCAGUACUCAUGCUGAUUUCUUAAUUCGGUAUUUGUGGGUACAGGUGCUGGAAACCAAUUGGGACCGUCUGCAUAGUAGUUUGAGCGGCUUGAACAGCGUGGACGAGGUAAAGUGAUUUCUCUACCAGAUUUUUGGUCGUUUACGACGAUCAACUGAUGAAAACUACUUUCAAUUUCUCCCUUCUUUUAUGAGGAGCACGUUCAUACAUUGGUGAAUCAGUUCAUUGGUAGAAUAUUUUUUCUCUCUUCUCAUAUUCGUAUGUGGCCGGCAAUGUAGGUUAUGCAACAACAUGAGUCCUUCUUGGACAGUUGCCUCCGACAAUGCAUGUUCUUUUGGCCUAUGAUCUUCGAGGUGAAUUUCAUGUCAACUUAUUAGCACUAGUCUAGCUUGAGGCAAAGAUUAGGACUUGAAGAGUGACUUCUUUCCAGGAUGCAAUUGUAUCUCAAUCUUGAGCUAUAUUUUAUGGCGACACGUGUUGUGGAUUGCAGAAAGUUGAUCAUUUACAAAGUCUUUGUCUCCAAUAUGCAACAGCCACCCUACGGUUUUUACCAAUGUUGUUCACCAAGGAUACAUAUACAGAUGAAUCAUCGUGCGUAGUGGAUCCACAGCAAUCUAUGUUAGAUGAGGAUCCUUCUUCUGAGAGGCAAUGCAAAGGCAGACUUCGUAAACAGUAUAAGCUCGAUAAUCGGCGUGCCAGACAAGCAGCAGAUGACAAAACCUUCAAGAACUGUAUCGGGUAUGUGGACUGUUGGGAUUGGUAAAAUUAGUAUGAAUGCAACUUCUGAUUAGUUUGUUAAAUGUCGAGGAUCAUCUGGCUUGCCGUCACGUACUUGACUGGUCACUCUAGAUGGUUCUACUAAGAAAAAGUUGCAAAUGAUGCUCUCGUAUUGUGCAGACGAAUAGACACAGCUUUCAACAAUGAACUGAGCUUACUUGUAGACGUACUUAUCUGUAGAUCGCAGCAAGAGCCGUACUUGGCUGAUCUUGUGCAAGCCUUAAAGGCAGUUGAGCGAGCCGCCUCACACCCUUCUCCCUCCCUUUUCGUUAUACCUUGUUCAACAAUAAGAGCAAAUAAAUACCUAAUAGUCUACUGUCAAGGUAUCACUGUCGUGUCUGCAGGCGUUGGACUUUUUGGGGGCUAUUUGAAGCUCUUAUUGAGAACCAGUCUAUCGUUAUACUUGGUCGUUGUGGGUUAAUUAGUAGCAAAUUUAUUUGUAGCUAGGUCUCGCCAUGUUAGGUUCUCUGUUAAAUGAACCUAACAUGGCGAUCAGCGGUAUUCCUAAACCCUGAACCCUGACAGUGGGGGUUCUUCCAUACUUUGUGGGUUAGAUGUUACCGAAAGUGGAAGCCAGAAACAACGAGCGAGGUUCCACAGAUCCGCAAAGAGAGCAUAAUGCAGACUCCGGUGACUCCGACCUCGACUAUCCUGAGCCCUCAGAAGUGGAUUCACCCCGAUUAGGAAGCUCCCUUAUAAGUUACCCGCGUGAAGAAGUUCCAGAAGAGAGGCCAUGCUAUUCUCAACCCCGAGCAUCCAUAAGCUACCAUUCUGAACAUGAUCCGAAAGAGAAUGCAAACCAUUCGCAGCACCGAGCAUCUACAAGCUUCCGCUUUGAACAAGACUCCGAAGAGAAUACAAGCCAACUUCAACCUCGAGCAUUGAUGAACUUCCGCUGUGAGCAAGAUUUGAAAGAGAAUUCAAGCUAUUCUCAACCCCGAGGAUCCAUGAGCUUCCGUUCUGAACAAGAUCCGAAAGAGAAUACAAGCCAUUGGCAACCUCGAGCAUUGAUGAGCUUCCGCUGUGAACAAGAUCCGAAAGGCAAGACAAUUCACUGCCAACCCCAACCAUCGAUAAGCUUCUGUAGCGAACAAGACCCAAAGGAUAACACGGUCCAGUACCUACCCCAAGCUUCGAUGAGCUUCCCUGGUGAACGUGACCCGAAAGAGAAUACAAUCGACUGCCAACCCCAAGCAUCGAUUAGCUUCCGUUGUGAACGAGACCCAAUAGACAAGACAAUCCACUGCCAACCCCAACCAUCAAUGAGCUUCCAUAGCCAACAAGACCCGAAAGAGAAUACAAGCCAUUGGCAACCUCAAGCACCGGUGGGCUUCCGUGGUGAACAUGACCCGAAAGAGAAUCCAAUCCACUGCCAACUCCAAACAUCGAUGAGCUUCCGGAAUGAACAAGACCCGAAAGAGGAUACAAACCAUUGCCAACCUCAAACAUCAAUGAGCUUCCGUAGGGAACAAGACCCGAAAGAGAGAACAAGCCAAUGGCAACCUCGAGCACUGAUGAGGUUUCAUGGUGAACAAGACCCGAAUGAGAAUACCAGCCAUUGGCAACCUCGAGCAUUGAUGAGCUUCCAUGGUGAACAAGACCUGAAUGAGAAUACAGGCCAUUGGCAACCCCAAGCAUCGGUCAGCUUCCGUUGUAAACUAGACCCGAUAGACAAGACAAUCCACUGCCAACCUCAACCAUCGAUGAGCUUUCGUGGUGAACAUGAUCCGAAAGAAAACACUAUCCACUGCCAACCCCAAGAAUCAAUGAGCUUCCGUUGUGAACAAGACCCAAUAGACAAGACAAUCCACUGCCAACCACAAGCAUCGAGGAGCUUCCGGAGCGAGCAAGUCCCGAAGGAGAAUACAAGGCAUUGGCAACCUCGAGCAUUGAUGAGCUUCCACUGCGAACAAGAUCCGCAAGAUAUGACAAUCGACUGCCAACCCCAGGCAUUGAUGAGCUACCGUUCUGGACGAGAUCCAGGGGAAACGAGAUACCAAACCGAUUGUCCAGCAAUAAUGAAUUUUACCCACGACAACGAUCUAUGGUAUCAACCCAAAGACUCUCUUACCAUCUGGAACGUAUUUUGUGCGCUUGAAAGGAAACUCCUCUUAACCGCCGACCUCUAACACAGCUACCUGAUUUGUAUUUCAAGUGCAGAAACGUAAUGCUAUGCACAACAGAAGAGAUGACCUGGCUUUAUAAUAUUCAACUGUUUUUUGCGAUUGGUUGGGAGAUUAGAAACUAUUCCUCUCCGUGCGGACUUGUGUUGAAUAUGCUGAUCUUUGGCAGCCAUGAUCACAGUGAAGCAGCUUCCAAAUGAAUGGAGUGUGGAGCUUUCGAAGACCCCACAAUGUCGAUGGGAUUGUUCAAUCCGUGAAAGCUUUCUUCACGUUGUCGAACGGCCUUUCAGGAAAUACCAUUUAGUCUUUCGCAGGUUGUGAUGAAUUGCAACAGAGACCAGGAGAGUGGAAGCGAUUUUCUGUGAGACUUCUGCUCUUCUGAUCCGAAUUCUCCCGUCGGACUAUUGCAAAAUCGAGCACAAUCGUCUUAUGAAGUACGACAAAGUCCGUUCAGAGAGCCCUGAUAACGAGGAUUCAAAGACUCGUGCAGUGUAACUCCAAUCAAGUCUUGGCAAUGGUGGACAGAAUUAUUGAUGUCACUUGGUGGGGAUGAUCGUUUUUCAUUCACCCAGUUUCGACUCCUUAUUCAGUUUCUGCAGUUUAUGCUGGAUUGCGUUUUCCACCGUUAUUUUAACGAUGUUAGAAGCACCAACAAAAGCAGUCGUAAAACAAAAACUAAUAUAUGAUCUGUAUUCAAAAAUUAAGGUGAAUGAUAUUAUGUAUCAAAUUUUAAACUUUCUGAUGUUCUCUUUUAAAAAAUGAAAAAAAAAUGAAAAAAUGAAAAAAAAAAAAAAAAUGGUCCCUAAUUCUAAAAGUUGGUUUUGGUCUUAGGAAAGAGCAACUAAAUUGUAUGAAUUAUAAAAACCUUGAUGGUUAAGGUAAAGUUAGCUUAGCUGGUACAAUGAAAUUGGAUUGCGAUUGUUUCAUGGUCAUGGAAGCAUGUUUCUUCUUGUCACGGAAAAUAUCAAUUUCUUGGUCCUCUAAAAAUUGAGACUUAACACGGUAACUGUAACUGUGCUUCUUUCUAAUUUAUUAAAUAUAAGCUUGUCCUGUGAAGCUAGGUAUUUGGCAUUGAUUAUCAACAUAAAAUUGGUACCAAAAGUUAGCCAUUCUUUUCGCAUUCUAAUUGGGGGAUUGUAUCAUUUCUUUGUAGUGUAAUUGUACUUAAUGGUGUACAUUUCUUUGUAGUGUAAUUGUACUUAAUGGUGUACAUUUCUUUGUAGUGUAAUUGUACUUAAUGGUGUACAUUUCUUUGUAGUGUAAUUGUACUUAAUUGUAUCAUUUCUUUGUAGUGUAAUUGUACUUAAUGGUGUAUAUAUUACAAAAUUGAAUUUCAUAUUAGAUUAGCGUGAAAUUUAACUCUGCACAAAUUGCAACAAUAUAAAUCACAAAUUUAAUAAACUAAAGUACCCACCACAAACUUUUAAACAAAUUCCUAAAGUAUUUCAGCUACAAUGACAAAGGAGGACUUACCUACUGAUACUGUGGCCAUUGUGUCUAGAACAUAAUUAAGAUAAAAACCAGUUUGUGACUGUAGUCCAUCCAUCUUCAAUCGCAUUACAUGCGAGGCAAGGCGCGUGGUGCCGCCACAAAGCAAAGUGAGGUAGUCAGAAUGCGCAACCAGGCACUCGUUUGGCAUGGGAUGGCGAGGCAGGGAUGGAAGGAGGGAGAGCGAGGAGAACGACAAGCACAGCGGGGCCGACGACAAGGAAGAGGAAGAGGAGGAGAUGUGCGGACCAGGUCGUCACGCCCACCAGCGCGCCAAUCGCAGCGGGGAUGCCUCCAUUAUCCAACCCCACCACUACCGCACCUCCUCCCCCGCGCUGCUCAUCAAAUUCCACUUGGUGCUCCCCCCUGCUUCCAAGUUUCCCCCUCCCCUCUCCUGCAUCGUUUGCAUCCCCCCGCUCGCCACUCACUACUCCUCUCUCCUCCCCGCCUUCGCCUCUCCCAGGUUUGUGCCCCCUUUUCUCUCUUAUUCUGCCCCUUUCUUGCUAUUCCACUAUCCUUCUCACCUCAACAAUCUUCGCACUGUUGAACAUCGUUUAGGAAGUAUCGUUGGCGUACGUCUUUGUCUGUGGCGCUUUGCAUUCUCGGGUACGCUUGCUAUGGGGGUUGGUAGUUGGGUGGGGCGAGGUUGCAUGCUAUGGAAUUGUUUUGAAUUUUGGUGCUGAGGGAUCGCAGUUGCGCUCGACCCAGCGCUGGUGAGCUGACAUUCUCUGCUGGAUGGCGUAAUGCAGAAAUUCAGGUCUCGCGGUGUCGAAGAUGGAGACUCUUGCGAUGGGAGCUUCCGUCUCGGCCAGCGGGCUGUGUGCUAGGGCGACCGCGCAGACGUCCCAGACGUCCCGGGCCGCUCUGGCUUCGGCCUUCUCGGGUAAGAGCCUGAGAGCGCUGAAGUCGAACGUGAGCUUGACGUUGGCGUCGCAGAGGCCCCGGCAGUUGCGUGUGGUGGCUGAGGCGCAGAAGGAGACGCUGAGCAAGACCGCGCAGCUUCCCGA
rnacentral:lncRNA from 1 species